rnacentral:lncRNA from 1 species
ACCCUAACCCUGUAAUUCCCAAUUCUAAACCCCCCAAAAUGCAAUUCCUUCACAGACCCAACGCGUUUCCAGGCCACGGCGCAGUAUCAAGGGCCAUGGACAUCAUCCAAUCGUCGCCGCCCACGUGGCAAUCGGCCUUCCUCAGCAACCUCGUGAUCUUCGUCAUCGGAAGCCCACUUUUAGUAGCGGGGCUAUCUCUCUCCAGAAUUUGUGCUGCCUUCUUGCUUGGCACUCUCACUUGGCGCGCUUUUGGGUCUUCUGGGUUCCUCCUCGUUGCUUCUUACGUAAUAGUGAGUCCUCACAAAGUCUAUGGAUUUUAUUUGAAUUGUGGGAUUUAAGUUAAAUUUAGAAAUGGGGUUCUGAUUUUUGUUCCCAUUUGGUAUAAAGUUUACGCUUUGGAGGACAAGUUUCAUUGUUUGGUAAUAUGGCAAAGGAAAAGAAACUUAGUUUAUGUCAAAAAGAUUUCAUGUGAAGUAGUUUGUUAUUUAAGUGUGAUUUGUUUUUGUUUAAAGAAUUGGAUUACACUAGUGAAAUCACGUCAAAAUCAUAACCAAAAUAUUUUUUCCAAAAUUUCUUUAUUUUCAUUUGUUUUGCUCUUGGUGGGGGGCAGGUGGAGGAGCCAGGGAGAAUUUAUGGGUUCUCGCAGUUUUAGACUAGUUUGAAACGAUAUAGUAUUGUUUUUCCUGCUUUCCUUUCUAAUAAUGGCUUGUUUUACUUGCAAAAUGAAUCUUGAAUUAGUUCCUCCUUCCCUCUUCUGAUUUUCCCUACCCAUAUUUCUAGUUGAAGAUAAUAGUUUCAAAUCAUGCUUGAAAACUAUAUUACAAAAUACUUGUAAUAUCAAACAAUUUUGUGUGGCAUUCGAGUUUCUAAUUUGAAUGGAGAAAUAAUUGGGAUGGAAGUGGUAUUAAAUAAUUUAGAGGAAAGAAACCCGAAUGCCUUUUGCACCAAUACAAAGAAAAGAAAAGAAAACCUAGUACAAAACUUCGGAAGAUGCUUGAUUGUAAGCUGCUGGGCUUUUGAGGACCUGAGACUCCAUAAUACUUUAUAAUUCUCUAAAUCUUCAUGCAAUCUUACAGCUCUUUGUCAUGCCUCUAAAACAAAUGCGGUAAAACCAUGCUCAAUUGCUCAAAUUGUUAUGCUCAAUUGAGAACUCCUGACCUGUUAUGUGUGUGUGGAGAUGAUAACACCAAUGAAUGGCCUUGUUAUACGGAUGACCGCUCAUGAUAAUUGCUACUUCAAAAAUUAUUGGCUUAGAUUAUGCUGCUGUGUUUUGAAACUUGUUGGCAUGCCUCACGAAUGCUGCAAAAUGUGCAGAAGGUUUCUGAGAUCUUGCUGCCAUCUAAGAAGAAAGAAUGGUGAAAUUGUACAGGUACUAUGAAUAUGAUGUAAUGUUUAGCUUUUUUAUAGGGACUUCCUUUUUGUAUAGUGAACUUGGUUGCAUUGGAAUGAGUCUGUUCUCUGGGAAGAAUCACUGUUCUGAAAAUUGUUAGGUCUGAUCACAAUUGCAACCAGGAGCGGCAUGCCUUGCUUUUCUUCUCAUAGGGCAUCAGGGUAUCCCAUCAGGGUUCUUUUUGUGAACCCCUCUUAUGAAAUAACAUCUUCUAUGCCUUUCCAAAAAAAAAAAAAGUAACAAUCACAUGGCAUAAUUUUUUCUUACAAUAUGAGAGUACUGCAUCAGAGUUUCUUAAUGCAUUAAGAAAAGUUAGAGAUGAGGUCUAAGAAAAUAUCAAUUUCAAGAAGAAACAAAUAACACUAGAAUCAUAUUUUACAAAAAUAUCAUAAUUGAGUCAUGUAUAUAUAUAAUUUUGAUGUAUAAGAAAAUUAUUAAUUUAUAUAUCAAGUGAGAUCUAUGUGUUUUUUUUCAAAAUGUAUUAUCUUAUUAAUUUAACAAAUUAUUAAUUUAUCAUGUUGAUCUCAAAUCAGGACCAACCAAAAUUAUUAAUUUAUCAAGCAUUAUUUAUAGACGUUUUGUUGUACUUCUCUGUAAUUCACUCUAAAUAAAAGGGUAUGUUGAAACAAGCGGAAUUUAGAUCCCUUAUGGUUCUUGCUACAUUUAAGUACUAUUAAUGUCAUUUAUGCUGGUUAUAAAGAUCUGACAUUUUAUUUAGAAACAAAAUUUGUAGAGUGUCAAGCUUUAAUAGCUUUUUUUUUGUUGCUUUUUAAUGUUUAUAUUCGUUGCUAUAUACUAUUUUUUUUCCCUAUCAAACCAUUCUUUCAUGCUUACAAAUUUAAAUUUGUGGUGUGCAAAAAUUGUUGAUAUAUUUCAAAAUCAAAUGUUAUGUCACAUAAUAAAAAGCUAUUUUAGCUCAAAAGUUGUCACAUAAAAUGACAUAGUGUGACUAUUGAAUUGUAGGUAGGUUUUCAUAUGAAUGGUUAUGUCUCUAGGUAAAAUGACAUUCAAAAAUUAUGAGACAAAUUGAAAAAAUACUAUAGCUCAAAAGUUUAAGAGCUUGUUUGGCCUAGUUUUUUUUUAACUUAAAAGCUAUUAUUAAGCUCUUAUGAAAAAUAAUAGCUUUUAAAAAUUAAGCUAAAAUUAUUUGAUAAAUUGUUUAACAAAAUAAAUUAUAUAAGCUCUAAUUUCGGUUAAAAUUACCAUAAAGGGUAUUCAUGCUAUCUUCAAUCACCUAAUAAGCUAUAAUGUAAUGCUUCAAGUUUGUAUAUAAUUUCAGAUAUUAAAAUCGAAGAAAUCAAUAAAAAAAUGAAUAAUUUUCAAACUUAUAUAGUAGCAAUAGUAUUAGACUUUUGUUGAUCUAACAAGCAAUCGGACCAUGAUGCUUCAAUUCCCAAAAAAGAAGAAAAGGGAGGAAACGGUGUAUUUAAUAUUAAAAUCUUUUUUAGUGAAAAAAAAAAUAGAAAACCUUUAAAUAGUUUUUGAAUGCAGUUUUGAAUUUUAGAUUUUUUUUCUCUCAAUUUUUGUAAGAACAAAAAAAUUUUAAAUUUUGUUAUUCAAUGGUUGGUCUUCUGUUUUUAAUUUUUUAGUAGUCUUUAGAGAGGUAGAGGAGAGGGAGAUAGUAAUUUUACGUUGGAGAAUGGUAAUUUGCAGAGGGAAGAAGAGGAGAGGGAGAUUAAUUUAGAGAUGGGUAUUUCCUGAAAUUAAUGUAUUUUUAAAAGAAGAAAAAAAAAAGCUCUUCCUUGGAGCUUUUUUUUAAAGCUCUUUUUUUUUUUUUUAAAUUUUGUUCUUAAAAAAAAACUGUUUUUUUUUUUAAGAGCUUCUCAAAAAAGCUUUUGGUUUUAAAAGGUAGAUAAGGUGAAAAAAAACAGGCCAAACAUGUACUAAAUAUGAAAAGUUAUUGUUUUAAAUUAUAACUCAAAGAUUAUGUUUUAUGGAAUGAAUAGUUCUCCUUUCAUAAGAUGAUUAUUAAGUGCUUGUUUGGCCUAGUUUUUUUUCAGCUUAUCUAUCUCUUAAAAAUAAAAGUCAGGCCAAACAUAAAAUUUUAAAAAGCUCUUAAAAAAAAGUAGCUUUUAUUAAAGAACAAAUUUUUGAAAAAAGAGCUUCAAGGAAAAGCUCAUAUUAAGAGUUUUUUCUUCUCUUUUUUUAAAAAUGCAAGAGAAUUUUUAUUUUUGUUCCAAAAAUAUCAUCAUCUGUUAAAAUAAUUACAAUAUUACCCUCUCAAAAAAAGAAAUACCCUUUAUGAUAAUUUUAACAAAAAUUUAUAACUUAUAAAAAGAAAUUUACUAAAUAAUUUUAGCUUAAUUUUAAAAGCUAUUAUUAUUCAUAAGAGCUUCAUAAGAGCUUUUAAGCUAAAAAAAAGCCAGGCCAAACAAACUCNUCAGGCCAAACAUAAAAUUUUAAAAAGCUCUUAAAAAAAAGUAGCUUUUUUUAAAGAAUAAAAUUUUGAAAAAAAGAGCUUCAGGAAAAGCUCCUAUGAAGAGCUUUUUCUUUUCUUCUUUUAAAAAUGCAAGAGAAUUUUUAUUUUUGUUCCAAAAAUAUCAUCAUCUGUUAAAAUAAUUACAAUAUUACCCUCUCAAAAAAAGAAAUACUCUUUAUUAUAAUUUUAACCAAAAUUAUAACUUAUUAAAAAAAAUUUACCAAACAAUUUUAGCUUAAUUUUAAAAGCUAUUAUUUUUCAUAAGAGCUUUAUAAUAGCUUUUAAGCUAGAAAAAAGCCAGGCCAAACAGACUCUUAAACAAUACCUUUAUCUUAGAGUUGUAUCUAGCAAAAUGUAAAGAUGUCUUUUAGACAAAAUAGUGCCUUAAUGAAAGGGUUGUGUUCUUGAAGAAGAGACACUUGCAAGCCUAUAUAAAGGGCCUGUUGCCAACCAUUUUGACAUAUCAAAUAAAAAACAAAACAAAAGCAGAAAAAUCAAGAGUAAGAAAAGUGUUAUGUUCUAUUAACAUAAACACUUAAGUUCCCAUCAACUACAAAAGCGUCCAAAUUUUUUAUAAUCUACUUGUUGUAGAGAGUAGGCUCUAAGUCCUAACAACUUUACAAACCCUCGAGUGUAUCUAGUGGUCUACUCUUGUAAAGUGCAAGACGAAGUUAGACAUUAGCUUCAUUGUAUCUCUAAGGCUAUUUGCAUUAUUCCCUUUUGCAUACCGAGUGGUGGGGACUAAAUAAGUCUUAAAGAUAACAUCUAUUGAAAGACUCGCCUUAAAGUCAAGUUUUUCGAUUCUUAAAUUCCAUCUAAACCCCAUUUGCACCAACAAAAAUGAGCAGGUACCUACUUUACUUUAUUAUUCUACUUUUAUUAUAUAAUUUUUAUAGUCUCCUUUUUCAUCUUAUAUAUGGAAUCAAAUCCAUAUAGAAACCUUAAGCUUGAGGCAUAAGCUUCUCUCUUAUGAAAAUAAAAUAAAAGUCAAGAGCAGUAUAUAUACCAUUGUGAAUGAAUAAAGUAUAAAAACAUGGUGCCUUUUGAGAUACAAAACAUUGUGAAUGCGACAAGAAGUAUUAGUUGUAAUGUGUUAAUGGUCAUUUUUUAAUCAAAUUAAAAAUGUUACUAUUAGCAAUAUCAAGAAUUGCCAGGGAGAAAUUCAUUGAUAAAAUGACAAAUACCUAAAUUCUCUUCAUUGGCAACUUUACUAAAAAUCACUUUAAAAAAAAAAUUAGUAAAAGAUUUUCCAUAUUAUCUCUAUAUAUAAUACAAUAUCAAAAUUUAGUAUUAUAAAAUAUUUUAUUUUAUGCUUUUUUAGUACUAACAUAUUUUAAACAAUGUCAUUGUUUAUUUUAUUAUUACAUGGACACUACUUAUGUCAAACCCUGUUCUAUAUAAUAAUUACGACAUCAUUUACAUGCUCAAUAGAAUAGUUGCAUAUUUAGGAAGUUUGAGAAAUCGUUAAAAGACGAUAUUGCCCCUAAUGGUAUCAUUAAGUCGAUUAAGCCUCGAACUAGUUCAAAUAGGAAUUUUAAGGUGAAAUUCAAAAUUUUACAGUCAAAGAAUGACUUAAAAUGGUGAUUUGGAGUUCGAGGAUCAAUUUGGAGUCAAAUCGGAAUUUUUGCUAUCUAGGGGCAAAAUGGUCAUUUGCCACCUAGAGACAAAAUGAAAAUUUUUAGAAAAGAUUUUUUUGGCCCCAUUUGACUCAUUGGAGUAUGAUUUGAGUAUUGGAGUAUGAUUUGAGGUUUAGAAGUGAAAAAUUUUAAUUUCGGUAUAGUUUAGAGUAUAAGGGUAAAAUGGUAAUUUUACCACCCUAGGGGCAAAACAGUAAUUUUUCACCACCAGGACACUUGUCCAGCACAUGGUCUUCCCUUAUCCUCAUUUUGACCUUUGACUAAUCAUGUGGUGGAGAUAAAAGGUUUAAAAUUUUUAAAGUUUUAAAAAUGGACCAAUGGAAACAUGCCACGUGUCAAGCAAGGAUAUUUUAUUAUUUUCUAUAAAAAUCAGCCCAUAUUUAUCCCAUUCUUCUUCUCCAUAUUCGGCCAAGACAAAAGGAAAGAAAGGAAAAACAAGAACAAAACCUAGGUGGAGGAUUUCAAGAGAAAAAGUGUGGAAAAUCAAGGAAAACAAGUGAAAAAGGUAAGAUUUUUCAAUUUAAACUUGAAAUCUAUUUUCCUUACGCAUUUCUCUUUAUUUUUCAUGCUUAAAUUACAUGUUUUCAUGAUGAAUUCAUGACUGAUCAAAACGGGUAUGGAGAGAGAAAGAUGUUGGAUUGAAUUGAUUUUAAGAUAUGUUAGUGUUUUUAGUUAGUUUAGCAUAUUUAGAAGCAAAACAAUAAGAAAAGAAUCCAUUUUUCCCAUGAAUCAUCAUUGGCCGAAUCUUCCUUCAUGUGUGUGGGUGGUGGAUUGUUAUUAUUUCAAGAGAAAUGGCUUAGAAAAUGAUGAAUAAUGGUGAAAAAAAUUAAGUAGGAAAAAUCACUGUGUUAGUGCACUGUAAUGGCCGAAUUUUUCCAUGAAGAAAUGGGAGGGUUUUGAUGCUGAAAUUGGUGUUAUUUGAAUAAUGUUUGGUGAAUUGAGGUAUUAGAAAUGAAAUGGAGCAAUUUGGAGCCAAAUCGGACACAAUUGUCAUUUAAUCGGGUAAUAGGCCGAAUUAGGUCAACACCGCAUUUAAGCGGUAGUCGGAUAAGUUGCAUAUCAUAUCAUGCAUAUACACUGAGCCUGAAUUGAUUUUAUAAUGGUCAAGCAUUAAUGUGGUGAAUUAUGUAUUGUACAUUGUGGAUAGGUAGUGAGCAUAUUACACUAGUAAAAGUACAAAGAUUGUGCUUGAAGACUGGGAUUAGGAGUACAUCGACUCCUAGAACUGUGAGUAAACUUAUUAUUGUCUUAAUUAUCUAGAGUAGUUUUAUACAAUUAUGUGAUUUUAUAGAAAAUGAGUUUAAAUGGUAAAUUGCUAUGUUUUAGGAGAAAUUGUGAUUUUAUAAAAUGAUUUUAUAAAUUUUUUGAAAAAUUGAAUACUAGUUUUGAAAAUAGAGUAAUUGGAAACUGCCUGCUUGUGUUAUAAAUUGUGUUUUAAAUUAUAUGGCUUAUAGCAAUAUGUGAGCAUGAAUGGCAAAGUCAGUAUUUGUAUUAAAAUUAUAUAUACUAUGUAUUCAGCCUUGAAAUGCUAGAUUUUGAUAAAUUACCAUGUCAUGCAGAUAAGGAUUUUAUAAAUUAUAUGGUAGAUAAAAUAAUCCAUAAUCCCUACAGUGGAGGUUUUGUGGACCAGCCUAAGAGAGGGGGCACAGAAUCAGAUAUACCUUACCUCGAUCGGAGAGCCGUGUGAAGGGUGUCUCUGGAGGUAAAGAUUUGAGUGCACUUUACGUGGACCAUCACGUGAGAGUGAGACUCAGCCAACGCCAAGGCAUGGCUAGAAUUUCAAAUGUAAAGACAUUUAACAGCCUUGGUGGUCUCGGUCAGAUGCUUAAGCCAAGGCAUCCCCGGGAAUGAUUUUGGCAGAGCCAAGUUUUGUGAGAUAGAUAAGCCAUGUUGAAUUAUUGAGUAAACUGAAUAUUCAUGUUAUGAAACAUAUAUUGAAAAAAUAUGUAAAAACCCUUAAAUUUUUAUUCUUUUAUUAUAACUAAACAAGUCGCAAACUCUUAAUUUUAAUAAAAAAUUUAACAAUCAUCAAAUUUAUUAUCAAUUGAUAUUUUUUUUGUCUAAUUAAUAUAUGAUAUGAUAAUUAAUAUAAUUGCGUGAUGGUAGACAUAACCCCAUAAAAAUUAAUGUGAAAUGAGUCAUGCUAUCAUGUCAUCAAGUUAUGCCGACAAGAAAAUGUCAACUAAAUUUUAAAAAAUGAUUGGAAUUUUUAAUCUUCCUCAGAAUUUUUUAUACAUAUGAAAAGAAAAUGUAAAGUAUGGAACUGAUUAAGAAUCCCAAUCCUCUGUCACAUUCGUUGACUUUUCAAAUGUAGACUUGGCUUUAAUAUUAAAGACAAGAGAACACUUUUUCACAAACUAAUCAUGCCCUUAAUCUCCUUCUCUCUCACGGAAACUUUAGGCUGCUGAGAGCAAAACUUCCAUUACUUUGCCUCUUGGCUUUGGCUUUUUUUCUUCUCCUUCAUGCAUGCAUCGCUUGAGUCAAAAACAAGCACUGUGGCUUCUGUUUCUGUGGCUCUUGUUUCUGCGGAAACAUUAACAUCAAUUACCCUUUCCGUUAAACUUAGAUUUGAUUUCAAUUGCAGCCACAGAAAUAAUUAGCAAAGCAAUGAAGAUAACAUUGUCCUAAGAGUUAAUGUUUCUCGUUAAACUUUUUUAUAUAUACUCCUCCACAGAAAAAUACUGUUGUUAACGUGUGAGGAUUUUUAAGUAUUCCGCAAUAUUUGGUGUUGUUUAGUUUUUGAAAAAUAUUUAUUGUUUUUAGCAUAAAUAAAUUUGACAAAUAAACAAAUAUGAGAAAAAUAAAUUUUUAAUUUUGAAUUCUAAUUUUAAAAAGUGGACAAUAUUUUUAAAUUACUUUUUUAAUUUUGUGUAUAAAUUUGUAUCAUAAAAUUUAAACUCGACAUUUUAAUGUAAAAUUUAAAGAGAAGGAUUUAAAACAUUUUUUCGUUUGGGCCCGGGGAAUCCCUUGCUUUUGGCUAUGGUCUUUAUUUACCUUUUUUGCACCUUUUUUUUUCGAAACUAUUAAUUCACAAACACUAUUGGAACGACGCGGCACGACAGCAAUACCACGACAAUCUACGAUUCAGAUUGACAUUACUAAUUUAUUAUUAUAAUAAUAAAUAUAUUAAAAAUUUUCUAAACUAUUUAAAAUAAUUUAAUUAAGUCUUCCUCUUUUUAUUUUGUUCAAUUAAACUCUUAUAUUUUUAUGUUGAAAUAAAUAAACAUUUAUAAUUAAUGGUUAACUAACUUUUAUUAAUUCAAAUUCAACUUGUCAUUUUAUACCCAAGUGACGUUGACAUGAUGUAAACAUGAAAGGUAAAAAUGUCAUGUCAGCAUAACAUGUUAAUAUCAUGUGACAUAAAAUAAUAAGUAGAAUUUUGAUUAAUAACGGUUAGUUAAUUAUUAAUUAUAAUGGAUUAUUUGGUUUAAAAUAGAAAUACAAGAAUUUGAUUGUACGCAAUAAAAGCUUAAAAGUUUAUUUGAAUUUUUCUAAAUAAUUCAGAGACAUUUUUAAAUAUUAUGCAUAUAUAUAUAUAUGUGAAAUUAAUUAAAUUUACAACUUUCAUAUUUUUUAUACAAUUUAUAUUUUGUUGAUAUAAUCGUUGUAUUCCAUAUAUACUUUAUUUACAUAGAUCAUGCAUGAAAAAUUUUAACUUAAUUAAAACUUUCUAAUUAUUUGUAUGAUAACAAUGAAAUUUUAAUCGUUAAAUAUAUAUUAAAAAACAAUAUUCCCCACCAAUGCUCUCCGGGUAUCAUUCUGACUAGAAACUUUAUAUGUAUGAUUAGGUGCAAACAAUGUUAGCUUGCUAAAAGUUAAUUGUAUAUGAAAUUAUAAAAGGUGUAAAACUUAAUCAAUGUGUGUAUAUAUAUAUAUAUAAUUUUUAUAAGUAUUGCAUAUAUGUAUACAUAUGUAUAAAAGAGAUUCAAUAAAAGAUAAAAUAAUUAAAUAAGAGAAGAUCCACUACAAAUGAUUCAUAAAUAAUAUUGAACGACAUUUAUUAGAUUUUUUAGUAACAUAUUUUAUGUUGUUACGAUGUUUUUUGGUCAAAAUAAAAAAUUUGUCCAAAUUUAUCAUUUACUUUGGGUGAUGGAUCAAAUUAUGAUCGUAUUUGAAUGAAUAUAAUUUUGUCACUAUACUUUAAAAUUGGUUAAAAAUUGAUCAAAAGUUCUGAAAUAAACUAAAAGGUACGAUAAUAAAAAUAACACCUGUCAAACCCUGUUCUAUAAAAUAAUUACGACGUCAUUUACAUGCUCAAUAGAAUAUUUGCAUAUUUAGGAAGUUCAAGAAAUCGUUAAAAGACGAUAUUACCCCUAAUGGUACUAUUAAGUUGAUUAAGCCUCGAACUAGUUCAAAUAGGAAUUUUAAGAUGAAAUUAAGAGUUUCAUAGUUCAGGGAUGACUCAAAAUGGUAAUUCGGAGUCCGAUGAUCAAUUUGGAAUGAAACCGGAAUUUUCACUAUCCAAAGGUAAAAUGGUCAUUUGCCACUUGAGGACAAAAUGAGAAUUUUAAAAAAGAUUUUUUGGCCCCAUUUGAUUUAUUGGAGUAUGAUUUGAGUAUUGGAGUAUNNNNNNNNNNNNNNNNNNNNNNNNNNNNNNNNNNNNNNNNNNNNNNNNNNNNNNNNNNNNNNNNNNNNNNNNNNNNNNNNNNNNNNNNNNNNNNNNNNNNNNNNNNNNNNNNNNNNNNNNNNNNNNNNNNNNNNNNNNNNNNNNNNNNNNNNNNNNNNNNNNNNNNNNNNNNNNNNNNNNNNNNNNNNNNNNNNNNNNNNNNNNNNNNNNNNNNNNNNNNNNNNNNNNNNNNNNNNNNNNNNNNNNNNNNNNNNNNNNNNNNNNNNNNNNNNNNNNNNNNNNNNNNNNNNNNNNNNNNNNNNNNNNNNNNNNNNNNNNNNNNNNNNNNNNNNNNNNNNNNNNNNNNNNNNNNNNNNNNNNNNNNNNNNNNNNNNNNNNNNNNNNNNNNNNNNNNNNNNNNNNNNNNNNNNNNNNNNNNNNNNNNNNNNNNNNNNNNNNNNNNNNNNNNNNNNNNNNNNNNNNNNNNNNNNNNNNNNNNNNNNNNNNNNNNNNNNNNNNNNNNNNNNNNNNNNNNNNNNNNNNNNNNNNNNNNNNNNNNNNNNNNNNNNNNNNNNNNNNNNNNNNNNNNNNNNNNNNNNNNNNNNNNNNNNNNNNNNNNNNNNNNNNNAACCUUCAAUGGCCGAACCCUAUGUGAAGUGUAGAAGUAAUGAAUUGAUUUUGUGAUCAAGUGAAUUGGUUGAAAAAUUGAUGAAAUGAUGAUUUAUGGUGAGAAAAUGGAAUGGGAAAAUUUUUAGUGAUAGUGCACCACAAUGGCCGAAAUUUUCAAGAAGAAUUGUGAGGGUUGUCAGGCUGAAUUUUAGAUUAUUGGAAUUGUAUUUAGUGAAUUGAAAUAUUAGAAAUGAAAUAGAGCAAUUUGGAGCAAAAUCGGACACAAUUGUCAUUUAAUCGGGUAAUAGGCCGAAUUAGGUCAACACCGCAUUUAAGCGAUAGUCGGAUAAGUUGAAUAUCAUAUCAUUCAUAUUGUCACGAACCGGAACUCCCAUCGAGCCCGUGACAACAGCCGCGACGUCUCGAUCGACAUUCAUUACCCGGAAUGUCAACCGGAACCCGGCAAGGUUUUAAUAUCAGCUUCUCAUUUUCCCUGUGGGUAACUGUUUUCAAAUACCACAUUCUAAAAGAUUUUAAAUUGUUUCCAACUUAAGCAAAUAAAAUAAUAAUUUUCAUCUCACAAGGGAAUUUUGGUCAUUUAUCCCAAAAAUCUCAAAAUCAUCUAAAAAUAUAGUAUGUAAGUGGAAAACACAUAUUUCAUAAUCAAAAAUAAUUUUGGAUGUCUAAAACAUUCGUUUAAAAUGGAAUUAUGACUGUUAUAAUAAAAUAAAAAUAUUAAAUAAAAUAUUCAAUUUCCACAUAAAACGAUAUUUUAAGAACAUUGCAUAAAUAAUUUUUAUAGUGUAAAAGCAAAAUAAAUUCUUACAUACCGUAAUACAGAUAACCAAAGUAUACAAUUUAAUUUACAGUGACAAGUGGGCCCACGAAUGACCAAAAGUAUCAAAAGAAAUGAACCUACAGUUUUUGGAUGUGGCAAGUUCAACUAUAAUCAUCGCCGAUAUCAGUUAUCUACAAUCUAUUCUGAGCCUGAAAUAGGUGGAAAGGAGGAUGGUGAGAUUAUAAAAUCCCAGUGAGUAAACAAACAUCACCUAAAAUAUCUAAAGUCGAGUAAAAGGAGACUAUUAAAACAUUUCAUCAAACUGUAAUUUAUCAUCUUUCAACCUAUUUCAACCAAAUGAAAUCAAUUUAUUUAAAGCAAGUAAUCAGUAUGGCUUAUGAAUUUCUUAAAAAGCUUGGCUCAUGCCAAAAAUUAUUAUCAUACUCAGUUAUCUGGGAUACCUUGGCCGAGAGCUAUCCCAACUGAGUCCGCCAAGGCUAUUAGAAAGUCGUGUUUUUAUUUUGAAAACAUAGUCGUUCCUUGGCGUUGGCCGAGUUCCCCUUCACGUGGUGGUUUAGCGUGAAGUGAAUUCUAAAAGUUAUAUCUCGGGAGUUACCCUACUCGCCUCUCCAACCGAGGUAAAAAUAUAACAGGAUUCUGUGCUCCUCUAAUAGGCUAGUCCACAGAACCCAACCUACUGCAGCAGGUCAAACCCACCAUACAAUAAAAUUUUGACAGCAUGACAGGGCUAAUAUAUUACUACCCAACCUGCAAGGGUAAAAUAAAGCAAUUCAUACAAUUCAUAAAAAUACAGCCCAGCCAGUCAUGCCAAUACAAUAACAUAAGCCAUUGAUUCAAUUUUAAAUUUACAACAUAUCAGUAGUCUCCAAUUACUCUAUUUUCAAAAUCAUUAUUUCGUUUCAAGACAAUUUAUAAAAUAUUUUCAUUUAAACUCAUUUUGUUUACAAAAUAUAAAAAUUUACCAUUUGAACUCAUUUUCAUAAAAUUCACCAAAACCGAAUAAAAACAUACUUUAGAUAAUUAAAAUGAUGGUAAGGUUACUCACCGUGUCUAAAGUGGAGAUUUUCGAAAUACUCAGACUACUGGUCUUCGGGUGCAAUUCCCUUGCCUUUAUCGGAAGACUCACCACCUUGACACAGUGCAAAAUCGAGAAAUUCACCACAUUGGUACUAAAUUGAAAUUAAACUAAUUUAGACUACUAAUGCUUGAUAUGGAAUGCAAAAAUGUCUAAAUUUUUGCCUAAAUGCGGUGUUAGCCUAUUUCGGUUUUUUACUCGAUAAAUCGAUAUACGCGUCCGUUUAAACUCCAAAUUAAUUUUUUUCAGUUUCUAUACCCCAAUUGCACCCAAAUUGACUUAAUGUCCCUCAGUGUGGUGCAAAUUAUCAGUCUCGAUAGCAAAUUACAAAAAUACCCCUAGUGGGUAAAAAUUUGUAUUUUUGCUCCUAAAAUUCUCAUUAUUUUUCUAGGCUCAUAAUUCAUUAUUAUUUAUCAUAAUUCCUCAAAUAAACAUCAAGAUCAGCAGCCAAUAUUCCCCUAGAAAAUUCGGCAUAAUGGGUUUCAAUGGGAGAAAAUUAUAUCUCUAGCUUAUUUUUGCUAUAUUUCAAUAUAACUUAACUAAAAUCGCUUAAUUCAAUUAAAAUCAACCAAAAAUCAAGCUCAAAACUCAUCCAUGGAAGUUUGGCCAGCAUGGGUGUCCAUACCCACUUUCUAAUUUUGCAUGGAAAUGAGAAAAAAAUGCAUGGGUAGUGAAAAUCACAAGGAAAAUCAAUGAAAUUUACCUUUUUAAUGCUUGAUUUCUUGAUUUCUCUUGAUUUUCCCCAAAUUUUCAGGUAGGGUUCUUAUUUUUUUCCCCCUUUUCUCUCCUGGUUUGGACGGCUGAAGAAGAUGAGAAUUCUGAAAUUUUUACCUUUUUAAAGGCUAAAAUAAAUAAUAUUAUUUUAGUCAUUUUUUUAAUGUUUUAUUAAUUUCUUAAAUUCUAGCCAUCCAUUUGUUUCCAAAUUUUCACCAUACACUUGUCCCACAUAUCCAUAGCUUAGAUAAAAUUCUCAGACUUAUCCAAACUCUUGGUGGAGUAAUUUUUGAAAUUUACACUUUUACCCCCGUAAAAGUCAAAAAUUACAUUUUUGCCCCAAAAACUGAAAAAUUGCCCCUAGACAUAUUUUUCAUCCCUUAUACUCAUACCAUUCUCCAAUUUGUCAAAUUUGAUCUAAAUUCUCUCAAAAUCUCAAAUUUUAUCCGCUAGUGGUAAAAUUACGAUUUCGCCCCUACACUCUAAAAAUCACCGAAAUUAAACUUUUUCACUGCCAAACCCUCAAAUUAUACUCCAAUACUCAAAUCAUACUCCAAUAAGUCAAAUGGGGCCAAAAAAAUUCUUUUCUAAAAAUUCCCAUUGUGUCCAUGGGUGGCAAAUGACCAUUUUACCCCUGGACAGUGAAAAUUUCAAUUUGACUCCAAAUUGAUCCUCGAACUCCAAAUCACUAUAUUAAACCAUUCUGGGACUUUAAUAUUCUUAAUUUUAUUUUAAAUUCUCUAUUUGAUCUAGUUCGAGGCUUAAAUUAACUUAAUUGUAUCAUUUGGUACAUUGUCGUCUUUUAACGAUUUUUCUUUCGGGGCUUUCCAAGUAUGCAAGCAUAUUGUCAAUCAUAUGAAUGACAUGACAAGUAUUUUAUAAGGUCGGGCUUGACACAUAUACACCGAGCCUGAAUUGAUUUUAUAAUGGUCAAGCAUUGAUGUGGUGAAUUAUGUAUUGUACAUUGUGGAUAGGUGGUGAGUAAAUUACACUGAUAAAAGUACAAAGAUUGUGCUUAGAGACUGGGAUUAGGAGUGCAUCGACUCCUAUAACUAUGAGUAAACUUAUUAUCGUCUUAAUUAUCUAGAGUAGUUUUAUACAAUUGUGUGAUUUUAUCAAAAAUGGGUUUAAAUGGUAAAUUGCUAUAUUUUAGGAGAAAUUGUGAUUUUAUAAAAUGAUUUUAUAAAUUUUUUGGAAAAUUGAAUACUGGUUUUGAAAAUAGAGUAAUUGGAGACUGCUUGUGUUGUAAAUUUAUGGUUUUAAAUUGAAUGGCUUAUGACAAUAAAUGAGCAUGAAUGGCUAAACUGAUUUUUGGUGUUAGAAUUAUUUGUACUGUGUAUUCAGCCUUGAGAGGCUAGGUUGCGAUAAAUUGUCAUGUUAUGUAGAAAAAGAUUUUAUAAAUCAAGUGGUAAAUAAAGUAAUCCAUAGUCACUACAGUGGUGGGGGUUUUCGUGGACUGCCUAUGAGAGGGGCACGGUAACCCAAUUAUAUAUUUACCUCAAAGGGGAGAUGUUGGAUGAAGUAUCUUUAGAGGUAAAGAUUUGAGUGCACUUCACGUGGACCACCGCGUGAGAGUGAGACUCGGCCAACACCAAGGCAUGGCUAAAAUUUCGGAUGUAAAGACAUUUAAAAGCCUUGACAGACUCAGUUGGGAUAAUCCUCAAUCAAGGUAUCCCUGAUAACUGAGUAUGAGAAUGAUUUUUGGCACGAGCUAAGCUUUUCAGGAAAUCAUAAGCCUAGUUGUUUAUUUGAUUGAAAUGAGUUGAAAGGUAAUGAAAUUACAAUAUGAUGACUUAUUUUAAUUUGUCUCCAUUUACUCGCCUUUAGAUAGUUUAGAUGGUGUCUGUUUACUCACUGGGAUUUUAUAAUCUCACCACCCUCCUUUCCUCACAUUUUAGACUCGAGGAAUUCCAUAGUUAGCUGACUUUGACAAAGACCUUCAUUUGGACUUGAAUCGGCAAAAGCUAUAGGUUUUCAGCUUCUGAUGUAUUUUGGUUAGAUGUGGGCCCACGUGUCACUGUAAAAGUAAUUUUAUGCUUUGGUUAUUUGCUUUAUAGUAUAUAUGAAUAUAAUUAACUUUUACGUUAUAAGAAUUAUUUACCGAUAGCUUUAUAAAAAUUAUUAUACAAGAAAAUAGUUUAUUUUAUUGAAUAUUUUUAUUAUAUUCAAAUGGUCAAAUUUUCACUUCAAAUGAACGUUUUAGAUACUUAAUUUGUUUUCAAAUCACUAAAUAUAUAUUUUUUGCUUACCUACUACAUUUUUAGCAAGUUUUGAGAUUUUUGAGAAAAAAUGACGAAAAUGCCCCUGUGAGCCAGAAAACAAUAUGUUAUGUUUUGAUUUGGAAAUGACUCGUAAUCCUUUGAAUUACGAUAUUUGAUAACUAUUGCUCAUCGGGGAAGUGCAAAAGCUGAUACGAGAGCUUUACGAGGUUUCGAUUGGCAUUCGGGGUGAAGAAUGUCUGUCGAGGCUUCGCGACGGUUGUCACGGGCUCGAUGAGAGUUUCGGGUCAUGACAACACCCAUUCAAAAAAUGAGUAGUAAAUUUGAUCCAUUAUGCUAAGUAGAUUGGUGGUAAAUUUGAACCUUAUGUCAAAUUAUUCUAUGAAGUUUGUAUGUGAAAAUAUGGCAGCUAGCACAUACCCAAAUUAAAUUUGUAAAUAACAUAUACAUGUUCUAUAAUCAUGUUUUCCAACUAAUUGAUUUAUAUAUUGUUUGUUAACUCUUUUUUUUUAAGAAACAGAAAUUCUUUUACUAAGAACUUUUUUGGGAAUAAUUUGUUUAAUUGUGUUGGUUAGAUGAAAAUUAAAAAGUAGCAUUUGUCGAUGGAUGACAUGAUUGAAAAUUUUCUUCAGAGUCAAAACAAUUUAAUGCUUAUAAGAUAUUCUUAUUUUGAAAUAAAAAGAAUAACUGAUGGUUUCAAGAAUAAAUUAAGUCAAGGAGGAUAUGGUUCUAUGUUUAAAGGAAAACUUCGAAGUGGUCAACUUGUUGCAAUAAAAUUGUUAAACAAAAAAAAAAGGUAUCACCCAAGAUUUCAUCAAUGAAGUUGCAACUAUUCGAAGGAUUCAUCAUGUUAAUGUGGUAAGACUUAUUGGAUUUGGCGUGAAGGGAUCAAAAUAAGCUCUUGUAUAUGACUUCACGAAGAAUGGGUCAUUGGAUAAAAUUAUAUUUUCAACUAAAAAUAACACCUUGAGUUGGCAAAAAUGUUUGAGAUUGCAUUGGGGGUGGCUCGAGGUAUUGAAUAUUUACAUAGAGGUUGUGAAGUGCAAAUUUUACAUUUUGAUAUCAAGCCACAUAGCAUUCUUUUAGAUGAGAACUAUACUCCAAAAGUUUUAGAUUUUGGCCUCACAAAAUUGUAUUCAGUGGAUGAUGAUGUUAUUUAUCUCAUAGUAGCAAGAGAUACGAUAAGUUAUAUGGCUCCAGAAUUGUCACGACCCGGAACUCCCAUCGAGCCCAUAACAAUCGUCGCGAAGUCUCGUUAGACAUUAUUUACCCUAAAUGCUGAUCGAAACCUCGUAAGGCUUUCGUAUCAGUUUUCUUACCUCCCCUGUGAUCGACAGUAACUAAAAUCGUGUUUUGAAACGAAAUGGACCAUUUUUCCAUCCAAAAACAAUGAAAAUUUAUUUCUGCCUCACAGGGGUAUUUUAGUCAUUUUUUUUCAAAAAUACGGAAACCCUUUAAAGUAGAUAACUGAAGUAUAAAAUUACUUUUCAGUGAUACGUGGGCCCCCAACUGACCAAGAAGGUGUAGGGCUACGAACCCUUACUUUCUAGGAUGCAACUCCGAGAUUAAUUCUCGUCUUAAUCAACUAUCAACAAACUGUCUUGAGCCUGAAAAAUGGAUAGAAAGAGGGGUGAGAUUACAUAAUCCCAGUGAGUAAACAAUUACCAUCAAAAACAUCUAAAGCCGAGUAGACGGAGACAAUAUAAAAACGUUAUAUCUCAAUAAUGUUCAUAACGCAAAAUUCGUUUCAAUCUAUACCAAACAAUUUCUUUUCGUCAAAAUUUCCCGGCUUAUGAAUUUCUUAAACUUGGCCCUUGCCAGAAUCAUUCUUGCGGGUACCUUCGUCAAGGUAUCCCACUGAGACAGCCAAGGCUGUUAAAUGUCCCAUACCCAUAAACAUGUUUUCGCAUCUGACACACAGCCGUUCCUUGGCGUUGGCUGAGUCUCACUCUCAAGUGGUGGCUCGAACGUGAGGUGCACUCGAAUCUUACCUCAAGAGAUACUUCAUCCAACAUCUCUCCCCAGAGGUAGGUAUAUAGUUGGGUUACCGUGCCCCUCUCAUAGGCAGUCCACGGAAACCCCCACCACUGCAGUGACCGUUUAAUAUACCACAAGACCCAUAAAAUUUUCAGUAGCAUAAUAUGGCGAAUAAAAUUUAAUCCAGUCUAUCAAGAUUAAUCCAAAACUGUUCAUAUAUGUCAUGUCAACCCCAAAAAUUUAGCCAUCAUGUUACCAUAGUGUCAUAAGCCACAAUUUCAAUAACAUAUAAAAUCAUAAAUUCAACACAGUCUCCAUAUACUCGAUUUUUCCAAAACAAUAUUUAAUUUCAAAACCAGUAUAAAUCUCAUUUUUAUUAAAAAAACAUUUUAAUUGGAAAACAUAAUAUUUUAUAAUUUAAACUCACCAUUCAAUAAAAGCAUCAAACAAGUAUAAUUACUCUAGAGAUUUAAGAUGAUAAAUUGUCCACUCACAGUACUAGGAGUAGAAAUACUCCAAUUUUCAGUCCGCGGGUACAGUCCUUUACCCGUAUCUAAUGGCUCACCACCUAGCCAUAAUCCAUGACACAUAUUCUAAUUAAAUUGUGUCUAACAGUUAUAAGCUAUUUCAAGCUCGAUAUAUAUGCAUGAUAUGAAAAUGAAAAAUACACGAGUAGCCAUCUAGACCCGGUAUUGGCCUAAGUCGAUUUUUCAUCCGAUAAAUUGGCCAAUGCGUCCAAUUUCACUCCAACUUGCUCCAUUUUUUUCCCAAUCCCUCAAUUCACGAAACACAAACUAAUUAACACAGAAUUAGGCAAAAUUUAUCUUCACUUUUCUUCUUAGAACUUUUGGCCAACAAUGGUACACUAACUCCAUGAUUUUUUCUACUUAAUUUUCUCUCCAUGAUUCAUUAAUUCCUACACAAAAAACUAUUAUUUCUUAAUCAAAUCACUUAUAAUAACAUCUCAUUCUUCCUCAUUAUUCACUUAGAGAAUUCGGCUAUUGAUGGACACCAAACUUUUGGUGGUUUUCUUCACUUGUUUUCAUGCUACACAUCAUUAAUCACCUAAAAACACUAACAUACCUAAAAAUCAAACCAAUCCAAGAUCAUUCUCUCUCCAUACCCAUUUUGACCAGCCAUGAAUUCACCAUGAAAGCAUGCUUUUCAACCAUGAAAAUUAAGGGAAAAUGCAUAGGAAAAAUAGUUCAUAAACUAAAAUCAAGAAAUUUCACCUUUUUCCACUUGAUUUUCUUGAAAAUCCACACUUUUCUCUUGAAUUUCUUUCCACCUAGGGUUUGUUCUUCUUUUCCCCUUUGUUUUCUUGCCAAAGCUGACCCUUAUGAGAGAGAAAUGGUGGUGUGGGCUGAUUUUUAUAGUUAAAUAAUAUAAUAAUUUAAACUUGCCACAUGGCAUUCCAUGAUUGGCCCAUUUUUUUAAAUUCUUAUCUUUUAAGAUUUAAAUCUCCACCACACAUUUUUCAAGGGUCAAAAAUGAUGAUGGGUGAAGACCUUGUGCUGGAAAAAUGCUCUCGGGGUGCAAAAUUACCAUUUUGCCCCCGAAGUGACAAAAUUACCAUUUCACCCAGGUACUCCAAAUUAUACCGAAAUUAAAAUUUUUUACUUCUAAACCUCAAAUCAUACUCCAAUAAGUCAAAUGGGGUCAAAAAAUCUUUUUUAAAAAUUUUAUUUUUGUCCCCAGGUGAUAAAUUACCAUUUUACCCUUAGAUAGUGAAAAUUUUGGUUUGACUCCAAAUUGAUCCUCAAACUCCGAAUUACCAUUUUGAGUCAUCCCUGGACUGUGAAACUCUUAAUUUCACCUUAAAAUUUCUAUUUGAACUAGUUCGAGGCUUAAUCGACUUAAUGGUACCAUUAGGGGCAAUAUCGUCUUUUAACAAUUUCUCGAACUUCCUAAAUAUGCAAACAUUCUAUUGAGCAUGUAAAUAACGUCGUAAUUAUUUUAUAGAACAGGGUUUGACAAGAAUUGUUUUAUAAAAAUAUCAGAGGUAUCUCAUAUAAAGCCUAUGUUUAUAGUUUUGGAAUAAUGUUAAUGGAAAUUAUGGGAAGGAGAAAAAAUUUAAAUGCCUCUACCUAAUAUUCAAGUCAAAUUUAUUUUCCAUCAUGGAUAUAUGAUGGAUUAGAUGAAGGAGAUAUCAUGGAGCUUGGAGAUGUGACAAAAAUUGAAAACAAAAUUAUGAGGAAAAUGAUAAUGGUAGCCUUAUGGUGCAUACAGAUGAAACCCAUAGAUCGUCCUUCAAUGAGUAAUGUCUUAAAGAUGCUUGAAAGUGAAGUUGAGAUCCUUGAAAUGCCUCCCAAGCCUUCUUUUUCUCGAAAUGUCAACUAAAAAUAGUAAGAAUUCUCACCACACACGCGACAAUCAGCCUUCCUCAACUACCUUGUGAUAUUCGUCAUUGGGACUACUAGGAUUUGACCUCAUGUUCAAAUUAGAAAAUAAUCAAUAAAUUAAAAAUAUAAUGCAACGAAAAAAUAAAUUAGUAUUUAAUCAUGAAACAGUCGAAUCUUACAAUAUCAAUGUUUGUGCUUUUCAUGUAACUUUCAAAUUAAUUAUAAACAUUCAUAAGUUUAAGAGUUACAAAUCUUGCUCCAUAUAUGGUAAUCAAGAGCCAAUUAAAUCCAAAAUCUUUGUUUCUUCACCUUUGGGAUUUGUCAAAUCUUCAGCCACCCAAGUGUUUGGCCUUUAACAGUAAUCCACACAGUGACCGAAUAUGACCUUCUCAAAGGUAGGAUUUUUUACUUGUGCUGGCAAGUUUUGUUUCAAAAAAAAAAAAAAAACCAAAAGUUCUUGCUAAAUCUUAUUUUUAUCAGACAAAAAAAAUAAUUUUUCUUUUCUUAUUUUAUGAAGCAACUGAAAAGUGGUUGGCGGCUUAGAGUUUUAGUUUGCUAAUAUAAUAUAUUUAUAUAACCGAAUUAAGUUGUAACCCUAAAAACAAUAGUUGUAUUUUAAUUUAAUUAGGUCUCUAAGAACUUAAUUAAUUUUGUACUUUAUUUUGGUCUCUUUCAAUUAAGUCCAACUUAAUUAAUUAUCCUCAUUUAAUCCCAAUCAUGUUACUUAAUGUGUUUGACCCAUUAGGCUUCUAACAUGUUGGCAAUAAAUAUAAAUAAUAAUCAAAUAUCAAUUUGAUAAUUAAUUUAUAUUUAUAGAUCAUAAGCGGCAUUUAGCAAUGUAUCGUGACCACCUAAAUGUUAGAGAGUUAAUUAAAGAAUUUGACAAAGCUUUUCAGUGAUAAGCCUCUUAGUAUAAUACAGUCCUUUCAUCAAAUAUCUCGGAUAUGUCAUUAAGCAUGGCUCAGUGUCUACUUAUAACAUUCGAUAUUAGUUCUCAUAAUUCAUGAUUAACUUUAUGAAUUUAGGAAACUAACUUUUCUCAAAUUCGUCAUGCUUUGGCCAAAGACUUUAUACAAGUUAAUCAAGAAUUGAGAACAAGUGAGAUACAUCCCCUCAUAUCACUUGGGGUAAUAAAUCCUCUCUUGACCACUCAUUCACCUUCGCAUGCUUCAUGGCAUAUCCAAAAGAGUACUUUUCAUUAAUGGGCCAGAGGCAUAAGGCGUUUUUAAGAAUGGUCUUCCUUAUAAUUUUAUCUUUUUUUAGCCAAGAGAAAAAAAAUUGGACAAAAUUAUCCUUAAUGAAACCGACCCAUUCACUAGGCUCCACACCUCAACCCGAAACCUAUUAACGGGUUAAGUAUGUUUAGGUUUGCGCCACAAACUGACUCAUAUUUUUUGAGCUUUCCUUACUAGACUAUUCAUCUCUAGAGUAUUCCUUACCAGAAAGAAAAACGUUUAAGUAUUGUGAGCAUUUUAGAGUAGUUUUUGAUACACGAAGAAAACUUGUGAGCGUUUUGAGCAUUUUUAAACAUUUUAGAGUGAUUUUUGAUAUAUGAAGAAAAACUUUCGAACAUUUUGAGCAUUCAUAUUUGUUAAUUAUGUUGUUAAAUAAAAUAUGGUGUAUCGUUUGAAGUUGUUGAUCUUGUUAAAUGGAAUUCAGUAGUUUUGGUGAUUUUUGAGAAUUAUGUGACUACUUUUUAGGCAUUGCGUGACUGACUUUGGAUAUUACGUGACUGACUUUGGGCAUUACGUGACUGAUUUUUGAUAAGGUAUUGCGUGACUAGUUUUUGAUAAGGCAUUGCUGACUAGUUAAUAGGCAUUACGUGACUGACUUUGAGUAUUGCGUGACUAGUUUUUGAUAAGGCAUUGCGUGACUAGUUUCUAAUAAGGCAUUGCGUGACUAGUUGAUAGGCAUUGCGUGACUAACUUUGGGCAUUGUGUGCCUAGUUUUUGAUAAGGCAUUACAUGACUAGUUUCUGAUAAGGCAUUGCAAGACUAAUUUAUAGGCAUUGCGUGACUUGUUAGUAAGGCAUUGCGUGACUUGUUAGUAAGGCAUUGCGUGACUUAUUAGUAAGGCAUUGCGUGACUAGUUUGUAGGGCAUUGUGUGACUUAGGCAUUAGUUAAAAAUCAGUCACGCAAUAUAUAAAAACUAAUCACGUAAUGCCUAAAACCAAUCAUGUAAUGACUAAAAACUAGUCGUGCGGUGAUUAAGUCACGCAAUACCUAAAAACCAGUAAACUCAAUUUUUGGUUCUAUGAAUAAACCAAUAAACUCAAGAACCUAAAACACAUAUUUUUUUUUUGCUAAGCCAUAAAAUUGUGCAUUUCAUAAAAAAUAGAUUACAAAACUCCAUAACCCUCUAAAACAAGAGAAAAUAUAUCCCUAUCGGGAGGUCUUGCUCACUCCCUUUAUCCAAAAACAAAAUAUACCCUCUUUACAAAAUAUUUUCUGAACAAUUUCAACUCAAAAUCCCUAGCAAACAUGCUUAACAAUCAUCCUAAUCCCAGACACAAUAAAACUGUGAACCACCAUAAAACCCAUCAAACAUGCUUUAGCUGUUCUUUCUCCAUAAGCAAAAUCACUGCCUGCAAAUAGCAAAAUCGUUGUUCAUCGCCCUUAAGAACCCCAAGAUCAACCAUCCAAAAAAUUAAAAUAAAAUAAAAAAGAGCUUGAUGUCAUAUCUACGAAUUGGAUGGCGAGAUAGACAUAUUUAAGCAGAGAGAGAAAUCAAGAUUUAAUUUUGAAAUUUUUAUCUAGAUGGCGAGGGAGAGAAAACUGAAACUAUUUUAAUCUGUCUGAAAUAGUUUAAAGGAUAUUAUUGUCAAGUCAUAGCAAAAAUUGACCAAAAAUAGUUAAAAUUAUAAAAAAAAUGAUAUUUUUGAAUUGAGCUUAUGAGGAAGGUUAUUUCUCACAAUUUCCUCUAUCCAAAAACAAUUUGUUUAGGCAUCUAGUCGUUUCCAAACCCGUUGGAGUGAAAUCAAAGUAUGUCAUUUCUUAUACAAGAUGACCUAGUGUCUCAAGUCUGAAGACUGGUUGCAUGACUAUCACAUGAGAAUAUUUUUCAUAGACAUUUGAGUGAAAUACCAAAUAGAGUUCUCAUAGCGGGUCAUGUUCAGUGAACUUAUUCUUUAACAAGCACCUACAUAUUAUCCUCAAGUAUCCCUUAUACUUCAAUCUAUAAAAUCGAUUGCUUACUUCCCAAGUAAGGAUGCUUAAUAUGUACCAGUCUUUGAGCAUUGUCAAUGCCCUGUCUUGACAAUACAAUGACCAAGAACAAUUUUAGAAACAUGGCUUUGAUGCAUAGUGAUCUCAUAAUUGUAACAACUUUACAAUUCUCUUGCAAGGCUUUUAUGUUCCAUUGGCUUCAUCAAAUUAGUACUUAAUAACUCCUUAUUAUUACACUAACAUGAAGGAAAACCUCUAUCACAUAUAAUUAUGAGAUUAAAUAUGCAUUAAAUGACAAUAUAUAUUCCUUGACUAAUAUAAUUAGCUCAAGGUUAUAUACCAAUAGGGACGCCACUCAACAUUGUGAUCUUACUAAAUCUGAUUAUUUUUUCUGUAUUUAGAUUUUUGAGUGGUACAUAGUUUUGUUUCCACCAAGAUCUAGCAGGCAGUGUUUGUAUUCUCUCUACUACCUUUGUUCGUUUUGUUUCUGCUACUUUUCUAUAUCCCUAUAUCUGAUCUCUGAUGAAAUAAAUCAUUUCCUCACUUGCAAAAAAUUUGCAAGAAAAUGUAAAUUUUAUUUUUCCCUUAUUUUAUACGAAGAAAAUAUGUUUUAUCUUAUAUUUAUAUUUUUAUGUAUGUAUGUAUGUAUCUAUAGUAUUAGUUGUUUAAACUUUUUAGGUGCAACUAAAAUACUUCUAACAAAAGAUUGUAUAGAGCAGCCAAAUUUGUAAUAAAAUAUUUUUAAUAACACAAGUUAACAAAAUUUUAAAUGCUAAAGUUAUUGUAGUGUGUUUUUUCCCUUCGGUUCUAGACUCUAAGCUAAUUGAAUUUUCAAAGAAAGAUUUGCUUUCAUUUGCAGCUACAGAAUGAUAAGCAGAACAACCAAGAUAAGAUUAUCUUAGUUCUUAGUUAAUCUUUCUUUUUAAACUUUUUUAUACAUAUACCAAAACAUGUAAAAUAUGGGCUAAUUGGUCCUUUUAGACUUAAUAGGUUGACGGUGAAAUUUUAAGACUACACAAUGAAUUUAUAGGAUUGCUCGAGUGAUUUUGUUUAUAUCUUAUUGGAGGUUUAUAUUAAUCUCUUAACUCAGACAAAUUACAAAGAUUCCUUUUCUGUCAGUUUCAUUAUCAAUCAGUUGCAUACGUUGUUUCUUCACUUAUUUCUAUUUGAGUGUAAAAUCAGCUAAGAGCUUUGAUUGGCUUUAGUUAGUUGACUUGACUGACUUUCGAAUAAAGACAAGUGAGCAAGAAUAACCGUACAUUUUCCCCAUGAGAUUUUCUAUGUGAAAAAAGCCAUACAAGUCUUAGAGGUGAGUCUUGACAAGGAUAACUCUCCAUUCCUCAUUAGUUCAUAUCCUUGCUACAUCCUUGGUGGAAAAAGCCUACCACUCGGUAGAAGAUUUGUUGGAAUCUAUACUAAAAAAGAUAAAGCAAAAUACACGAAAAAGUAAUAAAUAUUUAACAGUUAAUAACAAAAGAAAUAAGAAAGAGUGUUGAAUGUGAAACUUGGUUCAAAACACGUUAUGAAAGGCAUUGAUUUUAAAGUAGAUUUCCGUUGUUACCUCAGUGCAAAUAACAAUCAAUGAUGUCUUACUCCAAAGAUACAAGAACCACUCAAAGAUAUUCUAAUGUGCACUCAAAUAGAAAAUCUGGUAAACUUGUAAAUCUCUUAACUAUUCUUGAAGGAAUUUAGAAUGAAAAAAAAUAGAGUUUUUGGAAAUAUAAAAUGCUUUAAAUGAAUUUUUCAAAAAGAAAACCUAGGUAUUUAUAGAUAGUGAACCAUCACUAAUGUAUCUCUUCAUUUAGAUGCAUUUACUCAAAAGUGAACAAAUGUGUCCUUUUAUAAGUACAUACUUUUCUACAAUCAAAAGUUAUACCUCUUUCAACAAACAUAUUAAAUUUUGAGUCACUAAAAAUAAAAUAAAAAUUAAAAAUCCAACAAGAAUUGGUGUACAUCUCCCUUAUUAUACAUGCACCUCAAUAUAGGAUCAUAUAUCUCUUAAAUUGUAGGAUGAAAAUGAACUCUUCGGUUUACAUUGGUGCUUCUCAUUCCACCAAUCGGUGUUCCUCUACAUCUUUUGUUUCUUCGGUAUUUUACAUUGUUAAUGGGACAAUUUGAUAAAAAGAUCAAAAUAUAAUUCUUUGAAAAUAUUAUGUACAAUAUACAUGAAAAAAUAUUACGAAUUUAAUUUCUUUAAUUAUUGCGAGAGUUAUAAAAAUAAUUGUAGAAGCAAGUCUAAUGACCAUAGGCUUUAUUUGAAUAGAUAUUUUUCUUCUUUUUCGUGUCCAACUGGUCGUAACCUGUUUUCAAAUUUAAAUAAAUAAGAAAAAAGUAUCCAAGACUUUGAGUAUUUCAGAUAGUUAUUCACGAGCUUCACUAUCUUCAUGCAACAAAUUUGAAUUUUUAUUUUGGAAAGACAAUUUUGAAGUUUAGAUAUGCGUAAUUUUUUUUUUUUACAAAGUGAAAAUGUACAUAUAAAGUACAAGGAAAGAUAUACUUGUAUCUAUAUAAAAUUAAAUUAGUUAAACAGUCUUUUAUAUUUUUUAUACAAUUUAUAUUUUGUUAAUCCAACUGUUGAAAUUGUUAUAUUCAUAUAAAUCAUGCAUAACAGAUUUCAAAUUAAUAAAAAUGAUUAACUAUUUAUUUGAUAAAAAUAAAAUUCUAAUUGUGAUAUAAAAUAUAAAGAAAAAUAUACUAAGAAAAUAAUUGAGAGAAGAAUUGAGAAAAAAACUUUGGGUUCAUUUCUCAUGAGAAAAGAACUUCUGGUUCAUUUCUCAUUAUUUCUGAUUAUUAUUGAUUGUGAUUUUUUCAUUGAGUGCAAAGCUCUAUUUACAUUGAAUUGACUUUGAAACUUUACAUAAGUGAUAAGUAAAAGUUGUUAAAUCUAACAAAAAUAUUAAUUUCUUAGGAAGUUAUAUAAAAGUGUAAAACUAAUUAUUUUUACAUAUAUAAAUUAUUAAUUUAUCAUGAUUUAGGCUUUUGUGUGCGAUUUUUUCAUAUUUAACUGUAGUUGAAAAUAUGCAAUCUUUGAUAAUAUAUGCAUGUAAUAUUUUUGUUGGUGCAAAGGGGGUUUAUACGGUAUUCAAAAGAAUUAGCAAAAUUGACUUCAAGGUGAGCCUUUCAAAUAGACGUCUAUCUUUAAGACUUAUUUUGCCCCUACCACUUGAUAUGUAAAGGGGAAUAAUGCGAAUAGUCUCAAAGAUACAAUGAAGCAAACGUCUAACUUUCAUAUUGUACUUACGAAGUAGAUUGCUGGAUACACCCAAGGAUUUGCAAAGUUGCUUGGCCUUAGAACCAACUUUCUACAGCAAGUAGAUUGUAAGGAAUUCGGAAUAUCUUGUAGAUGAUGGAAACUUAAGUAUUUAUAUUUAUAAUAAAACACAACACUUAUCUUGCUCUUGACUUUUCUACUCUUGUCUUGUUUUUGAUUGUUUGGUGUGUUAAAAUGGUUGGCAACAAGCCCUUUAUAUAAGCUUCCAAGUGUAUUUUCUUCCAAGACACAACCCUUUCAUAAAGAUACCUUUUGUCUAAAAGGUAUCUCUACAUUUUUGCCAACACAACUUUUAGAUAAAGGUAUUGUUUCAAUAGUCACCUUACAAAAGAUAGCUAUUCAUUCCAUAAGGUAUAACCUUUGAGUUAUAACUUGAACAAUAACUUUUCACAUUUAACUUUUGAGCAUGUGGUGUCUUUUCAAUAUGUCUCUUAACUUUUGGAUGUCAUUUUUCAAAAAGACACAACUUUUCACAUGAAAACUUGCUUAUAUUCCAAUAGACACAUUAUGUCACUUUUCGUGACAUAAAUUUUGAGCUAAUGAUAGCUUUUCCAUCAUGUGACAUAACCUUUAAUUUUGAAAAAAUACCAACAAUCCCCCACCAUUUUCAAAAUUUUCAAAUACCAAUAACUUUGGGAAACUUAUGCAUAAAUGAAGGUAUCCUGCAGAUUUGAACCUUCACUUAGUGAGUGUGGUUGGUUCUAGUCUGAAUUGAGUGGUUGACCAAGCAUUGAACCAUCGAUUCUUCAUUGACUAGUCGGGUCACUAAACACACACAAGCUUCCUUGCACACAUUGUAUCUAGUUUUGACAAUACGUUUUAUGGCCUUCUGUUUUGUAUCCAUUCAUAAGUGCUGUCAGAGUCAAGCCUUUAACUCCUAGAAGUGGCCACAUUUCCACUCAUAUAGGUAGCCCCCAUCGAAAAUACCCCAUAAUUAUAGUACUUCAAUAUAUACAUGUUAUGGGUUUAUUAAGAACUUUCGUUCAACCUUACUUUACACAUUACAGGAACCAAGCACUAUACACCUUGGGAUGGAAAAUAUAACUUAGUGCUUGCAGUCACCAUGUGGUAGAAUGGUAAGUACCCGAGACUUGCAAGUCGGCUACAAGCUUCGAGGUGAUUUCCCACCAUUGGCAACUUAGUUGAUAAGCUUGAGACCUAUUCCUCUUGAGGUCUUUAUAACCAUAUCCUUUUUCAAACCUUUAGUAAAUGGAUCUACUAAAUUUUCACAGACCUCACAUAACUUAUAGUGACUAUACCAUCACUAAUUCUUUGUCGUCUUACAAUGCUAUGUCGAAGUCCAAUAUAUCGACUCUUCCAUUGUAAGCUUGAUUAUAUGCUUUUGAUACAGUUGAUUCAUUGUCACAAUGUAUCAAGAUUGGUGCCGUUGGUUUAGGCCACUACGAAAUUUGAUAGAGUAAAUCUCUCAACCAUUCCGCUUCUUGGGUGGCAAAUGCUAAGGCUAUAAAUUUAGUCGCCAUGGUGGAGUCUGCUUGACAAGAUUGUUUCUUAGAACCCCUAGAAACAGCACCCCCACCAAUUGUAAAAAUCCAACCAAUCGUGGAUAUGUACUCUAUUCUAUUUGAGUUCCAACUUGCAUUUGUAUACCCUUCUAAAACCGAAGGAAAACCUGAAUAGCAGAUGCCAUAAUUCUUUAUACUCUUUAAGUACCUUAGAACUCUAUGAACAACAUACCAAUGUUUUUUACUCGGAUUACUUGUAAAUCAGCUUAGCAUCCCAACCGCAAAAGCAAUAUCCGGCCUUGUACAGACCAUUGCAUACAUAAGGCGUUCAAUCACCUUUGCAUAUUCAUUUUGUGCUAUUGCCUUGUCUUCGUUAGGUAUUAGCCUUAGAUUAGAAUUAUAAGGCAUAGUCAUUGGCAUACAAUCUGACUUGCCAUACUUCAUUACAAUCUUUUCGAUGUAAUGAGAUUGAGACAAUGUUAGGCCAUUAUUGUCUCUUAUUAUUCUUGUACCAAGAAUAACAUCUGCCAUACCCAUAUCUUUCAUGUCAAAAUUCUUUGACAAGAACAUUUUUGUGUCUUCCAUUUGUUCCAAAUCGGUACCAAAUAUUAACAUGUCAUCUACAUAUAAACAAAUGAUGACACCUCUACCAUUAUGGAACUUACUAUAGACAUACUUGUCAAAUUGAUUAACCUUGUAGCCAUUAGCUAGCACAACCUCAUCAAACUUUUGAUACCAUUGUUUGGGUGCUUGUUUUAAUCCAUACAAGGACUUUACAAGCUUACAUACUUUCCUUUCUUGACCAGAAAAGACAAACCCUUCAGGUUGUUCCAUAUACACCUCUUCAUCUAACUCACCAUUUAGGAAUGUUGUUUUAACAUCCAUCUGGUGAAUUACCAUCUUUUAUAUAGAUGCAAGUGCUAUAAGCACUCUAAUUGUAGCUAUUCUUGCUACCAGUGCAUAUGUAUCAAAAUAAUCAACACCUUCAUUUUUUUUAAAGCCUUUGGCUACUAGCCUUGCUUUAAACUUUUCUACGGUUCCAUCAACUUUCAUUUUCUUUUUGAAAUCCACUUACAGCUUAUUGGCUUGGAACCUGGUGGAAGGUCUACCAAUUUCCAAGUUUUGUUUCCCAUUAUUGAGUCCAUCUCAUCUUGUAUUGUUUCUCUCCAAAAUGAAACAUCAUGAGACUUCAUUGUUUCAUAAGUUUGAGGAUCACCUUCACCUUCUACAUGAAAGCAGUAAGGUAAGUAUUCACAUGUUUCCUCUCUUGUACCUUCUACUAAGUACAUGAGGAAAUUGGAUCCAUAUGUUUUUGCUUACUUAAUUCUUUUACUUCUUCGAAGCUCAAUAGUUUUCUCAUCAUUUUUUGAAGGCUUAUCACAUUUUGUUACUAGGUCUUUGGGUCUUGGAAUUGAAUUGAACCUUGUUUCAUCAAAGAUAACGUCCCUCGAGUCUAUGACUGUAUUAACAGAAUAUGAAUAAUUGGGCUCUAUCACCAUGAAACGAUAUGCUUUACUAUGUCCAGGAUAUCCUAUAAAUAUACAUUCAAUUCCUUUUUCACCCAAUUUCCUUUUUUUUUUUGCUCUGAAACUCUUACCAUGGCUCGACAUCCCCAAACUCUUAAAUAAUUAAGAUUUGGCUUUCGCUCUUUCGAUAGUUCAUAAGGAGUAGUUUUGCUCCUUUUGUUUGAGAUUCUAUUUAGUAUAUGGCAAGCCGUUAAUAAGGCUUUGCCCCAAAAUCCUUUUCCCAAACUUGAAUUAGAAAGCAAAGCAUUGACCAUUUCCGUAAGAACUCGAUUUUUACGUUCUGCUACACCAUUUUGUUCCGAUGUGUAUGUAGUGGUAGUCUCGUGAAUAAUUCCAGUGGACUCAAAAUACUUGGGAUCAUAAUAUUCACCUCCUUUAUCAUUUCGUAAACAUUUAAUAAACAAUUCACAACACAAUUCAACUUCUCUUUUAUAAAUUCUAAAUUUCUCCAAUGUUUCAUCUUUAGUAUGCAAUAAGUAAACAUAGCAAUAUAUAGAUAAGUCAUCAAUAAAUGUUACGAAGUAUUUCUUUCCACUGAUAGAAGGAGUACUAUGCAUGUCACAAACAUCAGAAUGUAUUAAUUCAAGUAAUUUUGUGCUUCUUUCUACCUUAGGAAAUGAACUUCUUAUGAUUUUAGUAACCAUGCAUGUCUUGCACAUAUCAUUAUUUUCAUCAAUGUUGGGUAUUAAUUCUAAUUUAGCCAUAUCAUGCAUUCUUCUAUAAUGAACAUGACCUAAUCUAUUAUGCCAUAGAUUAGUUGGGAUUGCUUUACUAUCAUGAACAUUGAACGAGGCAUUAAUAUAAGUAGAACUAGUAAGAUUCUUAUUGACAUUAAGCUUGAACAUGUUUUUACAAUAGUAUCCACUUCCCACAUAAUGUCCACCUUUUGUAAAGAUGAACUUAUCCUCUUCAAAUAUUAAUUUGAAACCAUACUUAUUCAACAAGCCACCUGACACAAGGUUCUUUCUAACUUCUGUAACAUAAUAGACAUUGUUUAGUACAAGUAUCUUUCCAGAAGUAAACAUAAGUUCCACAGUGCUUUUUCCUUUCACUUGUGUAGUGGAGGAAUUUCCCAUGUAUAGUACAUUUCCAUUAUUAACUUCUUUCAAAGUCUUAAAAAAGCUUUUGCUGUUGCAUGCAUGAUUAGUUGCACCAGUGUCAAUCCACCAUGCUCCAUCAUCUUGGAGAAGAUUGACCUUAGAAACCAUAGUCAUAAAUUUGUUGUGGUUCACACCUUGUGUCUUGUUUCUCAAAAGUCUACAUUCCGCCUUAAAGUGACCAAGUUUGUUACAAUGAAAACAUGGCCCUUUUUUGUUCCUUUUAAACUUAUGACAUUUGUCAUUCAUACCCACGAAAUGUUUUCUUUUGUUGCAUAAAAAUGGCUUGUUUAAUGGUUUGUGUUCCAUCACAUGGACCUUUAAAGUCUCAAGAUUCUUUUCAUUAGAAUCUUUUUCAUCUUGCUUGACUUCUUCUUGCUUACAAUAAUCUUCUUCUAUUUGAAGAUGAUUACCAAGCUCUUCGACAGACAUAUCCUCUUUUCUAUGUUUUAGGAAUUUCUUUGUGUCUCUCCAUGAAGGGGGAAGUUUAUCAAUUAUUGAAGAUACCACAAUAGCUUCAUCUAUUUUAAGACCAUAUUGCUUAAAGCUAUUGAGAAUGUGUUCAAGUUCAUGCAAUUGUUCCAUAACAAAAUGAUUAUCAACCAUUUUACAAUUAUUGAAACAACUAACCAGGAAUUGUUUGCUGCUUGCAUCUUCCGUCAUGUAUCUUGCUUCCAACUUGUCCUAAAGUUGCUUUGCACUAGCUUCGUUCUGGUACGCAUCGAACAAAGCAUCCGGCAUUUCAUUAAGAAUGUGUCCCAUGCAUAUGUAGUCAUCAUUAUCCCAUUUUUGCCUUGAACAAGUUCUUUUCACGGAUUAUUCACCAUCUUCUUCACUUGGUCGUGGUGUAUCUAGAACAUAAGCGACUUUAAGAGUUAUGAGUAGGAAGUGUAUCUUUUCCAGCCAUCAAAUGAAGUCUCCUCCAUCAAAGCAAUCUAACUUGACAAUGUUGGUAGUUAUCUCUUUGAGUGAAGCCAUUUUGAAUACCACGAAAAUAAGUCUUAAAACUAUUGGUGCGAAGGGGGUUUAUACAAUAUUCAAAAGAACUAGCAAAAUUGACUUAAAAGUGAGCCUUUCAAAUAGACGUCUAUCUUUAAAACUUAUUUCGCCCCCACUAUUUGGUAUGCAAAGAGGAAUAAUGUGAAUAGUCUCAAGGAUACAAUAAAGCUAAUGUCUAACUUUCAUAUUGCCUCACGAAGUAGACCGCUAGAUACACUCGAGGGUUUGCAAAGCUUUUUGGCCUUAGAACCAACUUUCUACAACAAGUAGAUUGUAAGGAAUUCAGAAUAUCUUGUAGAUGAUGGGAACUUAAGUGUUUAUGUUUAUAACAAAACACAACACUUAUCUUGCUCUUGACUUUCUGCUCUUGUCUUGUUUAUGAUUUUUUAGUGUGUUAAAAUGAUUGGCAACAAACCUUUUAUAUAGGUUUUCAAGUGUCUCUUCUUCAAGGAUACAACUCUUUCAUAAAGACACCUUUUGUCUAAAAGGUAUCUCUACAUUUUUGCCAACACAACUUUUAGAUAAAGGUAUUAUUUCAAUAGUCACUUUAUGAAAAGAUAACUAUUCAUUCCAUAAGUUAUAACCUUUGAGUUGUAACUUGAAACAAUAACUUUUCAUAUUUAACUUUUAAGCAUGUGGUGUCUUUUCAAUAUGUCUCUUAACUUUUGGAUGUCAUUUUUCAAAGAGACAACUUUUUACAUGAAAACUUGCCUAUAUUCCAAUAGACAUAUUAUGUUACUUUUCGUGACAUAACUUUUGAGCUAAUGAUAGCUUUUUUGUCAUGUGACAUAGUCUUUAAUUUUGAAAAAGCACCAACAAUUUUUGUUCAAAAUAUUACCAAAAAAUUAUAUAUAACUGUGAAAUCUAUAAAGCACCCGAGCAUUUAGCUCAUUGGUUGGAGUAUGAUCUUCCUGUCUAAAGAGUAGGGUUCGAAUCCCCCCUCUCCCAAUUAUAAAAAAAAAAACUGUGAAAUAUGUAAAAGUUCUAUGCAAAUGGAUUUCUAACAACAAAAGUUAAUGAAAUAAAUAAAUGCAAAUUUAUUAUAGCGUGUUUUUUCCACUUGUUCAAAGGAAGAUUUGAUUUCAAUUGCAGCCACAGAAAUAAUUAGCAAAGCAAUAAAGAUAACACUAUCUUAACUCUUUUUUAAUCUUCCUCGUUAAACUGUUUUAUACAUAAUAUUUAAAAAAAUGACUUUUUUAUACUUACAAAAAAUAAAUAUAAGAUAUGGAAAUUGAUUUUUUUUUGAAGAGGAAAUUGAUCUAUUUUAUUUAAAUUAUAUUUUAUAUAUUUGCGAUGAAAUUUUGAAAUUCCAAAUUUUAUAACAUUAUUUAAGCGAUUAAAUAUAUAUAUAUAUUUAUUUAUUUAUUUAUUGAGGUGUUAUAUUAAUCUCCCUACCGUACAGAUAUACUUGGAUGAAUUAGAAAGAUUUCUUUUCUGUUAGUUUCGCUACCAAUUGGUCGGACAGAUUUUCUUCUUUCUUGUUUGAUUGCGUGGAAAAUCACCCAUCAGUCAUUGAGUUCUAUGAUAGGCUAUGUGUUAAACGUGUUCUGCGGUUUGGGAUUUAAUGAGUUGACUGACUUUUCAAAAGACGACAUGAAAAGAAUUAUUAUUUAAAUAUAACAUAUUUAAAUAAAUAUAUAUAUUUAUUUAAGAUAUGGAGAUUGAUCAAUUUUAUUUAGAAUUAUUAUUUUGUAUAUUUGCAAUGAAAUUUUGAAAUUCCAAAUUUCAUAACAUUAUUUAGGUCAUAUUAUAUAUAUAUAUAUAUAUAUAUUAUGUUAAGGGGUUACAUUGAUCACUGUGCGGAUAUACUUGGAUGAAUUGCCCAUGAGUGCUAUGGUAGGCUUUGUGUUAAAUGUGUUUUCUGGUUUGGGUUUAAUUAGUUGACUGACUUUUCAAAAGAAGACUUGGUUUUAACAAUAAAUCCAAGAUAACAUCAUCAUAGUGCGUCUUCACAAACUAAGCCCUUAAUCCCUUUCUCUCGCGCUGAAAUUUUAGGAUGCUAAGAGCAAAACUUCCAUUAUUCGGCCUUCUGGCCCUUGCUUUAUCUCUGUUCCCUGAUGCAUGCAUCGCUAGAGGCAAACACAAGCACUGUGGCUCUUCUUUCUGUGGAAACAUUAACAUCACUUACCCUUUUCGAUUAAAAAGUCAGCCUCGUAGUUGUGAUUACAAUCGUUAUGAACUAGUAUGCGAGAAUAACCGCACCAUUUUCCCCAUGAAAUAUGGGAAUUUCUAUGUCCAACACCUCUCUUAUAGUGACAAAACCAUUCAACUUUUAGACGUGAGUCUCGGCAACGACAACUGCUCCAUUCCUCAUAGUUCCUAUCCUUGGUACACCCCUUUCGCGAAAGAACUACAUCUCUAUCGAGCCACCACUGAAUAUAGCGUCAUGUAUCUCAUAAAUUGCACGACGCAGAUCAACAACUCUUCCGUUUAUAUCGAUGCUUUUCGUUGCACCAAUACCCCUUCCUCCUCUCAACCUCCGUACUUUUACUUUUUGGAUGAAAAUACAGCACCGUCUGAAUUCCAUGAGUCAUGCACUGUUGAAGCCCGGGUUCCAAUCAUGGUUGCCAGUAUCACCGGCCUCUCUACUUUUGAUAUUUACACAAAGCUGUUAACGGGAUUCCAACUCUCAUGGUCGACUUCCUAUGAUGAUUAUGUUUGGCUGCGGUGGGACUCAAUUGUUAACGUGUGAGGAUUUUUUUAAGUAUUGCGAAAUAUUUGGUGUUGUUUAGUUUUUGAAAAAAUAUUAAUUAUUUUUAGCAUAAAUAUGAUAAAUAAACAAAUAUGAAAUUUUUUAGUUUUUAAUUCUUUUUAAAAAGUUGACUAUAUUUCUUUUGAAGAGCAAAGUUGACAAUAUUUUUAAAUUACUUUUUUCACUAUGUAUAUAAAUUUGUAUCUUACCCAUUAGUUAUUUACUUAUACUAUAAAUAUGCUUAGUGUAAAAUUAAAAUAGAAGGAUUUAAAACAUUUUCAACAGUAAAAGUGUGCAUUUCAUUUGCCUUAUUAAGGAUUAACGUUUUUGAUGUGCUUUCUUGAAUAUUAAUUAUAGAUUGCUAUCCUUGCUCCAACUGUUGUUGCUUCCGCUGGCGAUAUAUAUUCAAAGCAACCUGGCUUUUUUCCUACCAGAUUAUUUCCUUGCACCUUAUAAAGGUAUUCUUUCUUUUCUGAGUUCAUUACUAAUUUGAGUAUUAUUUUAUUUGCCUUUACUUUCCUAGUAUCUACUAACACUUAAUUUUCGAAUUGGUAAUAUCUUAGGAGGAAUCCAGAUUCUUUGUCUUGCAAUAACAGGUACUAAAUUCUACACUUAUUUUUUUAUUCUUAAAUUCUAUAAUUAUUAUUAUAAUGAUAGUAGGAAUCUAAGAUCCAGAUUUACAUCUAUAAUAUUUUAUCAUUACAAUAAAUAUCAAGCAUAUCGAACAGAAGACUAUCCUUUCUCAACAAAAACAAAAAAAAGUAGAAUAUAAUUAGAGGAGAGAAAUCAUUGAGACCUAGUUUAGCGUUAGAAAUUUUUAUUUGUAAACCUAAUUAAGUUUUACAUGCCUUUUAUAUUUUUUUGUACGAUUUAUUUUUUGCUAAUUUAACCAUUGUAUUUCAUGCUCACUUAGAUCAAACCAUGCCUAAUUGUGGGUCAACUGAACAUGCCUAAUUUUGAUAACUAUAUAAUUUUAACUUUUGAAAAUUAUAUAUUGAGAAAGACAAUAUUCUCGACCAAUAGGAUGUGACUAACGCAUUGACUUGAAACUUUACAUGUAUUAUGAGUAUGAGUAAAAUUUUAAAUUCAAUAGUUGGUUUGUUAAAAUAUUAAUCGUAUAUGAAAUUAUAAAACGUUGUAAAAAUUAAUUAAUUUUACAGUGCUGUAACUUGAUCCUCUUUCAUAUGUGUGCAUGUGUAUGUCUGAGCAUUGCAUAUAUGUAUAUGUAUCUACGCAAGAGACUACAUACAAGAAAGUCCACCAUAAAUGAUUCAUAAAUAGUUUUGAACUACAUUAAUUAGGUUUUUUUUUAACUAGGUAUUUUUAUGAUGUUGUGAUGUUUUUUUUUGGUCAAAAUAAAAUUUAUAUGGGAUAAGGUCUAAAUUUACCAUUCUAUUUUGGACAAUGGAUCAAACGCAUCACCAUCUUUGAUCGGGUGUAAUUUUCCACUAUACUUUUAAAUUAAUUAAAAACUAAUCAAAAGUUAAAACUAACGUUAGCUUUUGACCAAUUUUGAAGUAAACUAAAAUUUAUAUUGAUAAAAAUUCCACUAGUUUAAAAAUAUAUAAUAAAUUUGAUUCAUCACCUUAAAUAAAGUGGUGGUAAAUUUUAAUUUUAUCCCAAAUUAUGUUAUGAAUUUUGUUUGGGAAAAUAUGGCAGCACAUGCCCAUGUUAAAUUACUAAAGGACAUGUGCAUAAUAUAAAAUUAUGUUGUCCAACUAAUUAAUUUAUACAUUGUUAUUUUUUUUUUGGUGAAACAGGAAUUCUAUUACUAAGAACUUUUUUGGGAAUAUCAUGCUUGAUUGCAUUGGUUAUACGCAAAUUAAGAAAGAGGCAUUUGUCGAUGGAUGACGAGAUUGAGAAUUCUCUUCAGAGUCAUAACAAUUUAAUGCCUAUAAGAUAUUCUUAUUUUGAAAUAAAAAGAAUGACGGAUGGCUUCAAGAAUAAAUUAGGUCAAGGAGGAUAUGGCUCUGUGUUUAAAGGAAAACUUCGAAGUGGUCAACUUGUUGCAAUAAAAUUGUUAAACAAAUCAAAAGCUAACGGCCAAGAUUUCAUCAAUGAAGUUGCAACUAUUGGAAGGAUUCAUCAUGUUAAUGUGGUAAAACUUAUUGGAUUUUGUGUGAAGGGAUCAAAACAAGCUCUUGUAUAUGAUUUCAUGCAGAAUGGGUCCUUAGAUAAAAUAAUAUUUUCAACUGAAAGUAACACUUUGAGUUGGCAAAAAAUGUUUGAGAUUGCAUUGGGAGUGGCUCGAGGUAUUGAAUAUUUACAUAGAGGUUGUGAAAUGCAAAUUUUACAUUUUGAUAUCAAGCCACAUAACAUUCUUCUAGAUGAGAACUUUACUCCAAAAGUUUCAGAUUUUGGCCUCGCAAAGUUGUAUUCAGUGGAUGAUGAUAUUGUUUCUCUCACAGCAGCACGAGGUACGCUAGGAUAUAUGGCUCCUGAAUUAUUUUAUAAAAAUAUUGGAGGCAUCUCAUAUAAAGCUGAUGUUUAUAGUUUUGGAAUGAUGUUAAUGGAAAUUGUUGGAAGGAGAAAAAAUUUGAAUGCCUCUGCUGAAUAUUCAAGUCAAAUUUAUUUUCCAUCAUGGAUUUAUGAUCGGUUUGAAGAAGGAGACAUCAUUGAGCUUGGAGAUGUGACGGAAAAUGAAAACAAAAUUAUGAGGAAAAUGGUAAUAGUAGCCUUUUGGUGCACACAGAUGAGGCCCACAGAUCGUCCUUCAAUGAGCAAAGCCUUGGAGAUGCUUGAAAGUGAAGUUGAGCUCCUUGAAAUGCCUCCCAAGCCUUCUUUCUCUGGAAAUGUCAACUAAAGAUAGUAAGAAUUCAAUAAACAUAAUAAAUCACAUCAUUUAUUACAAAAAUAUUAAGAAAUAUUUAAUAUAUAUUUUGUGCUAAGCAAUGUUUCACUACUUUAUUAUAGUACUUUUAUAAUUUUUGCAGUCUUGCUUAUCAUCUUAAUUCUUAUAUAUAGAAUCUGAAAUAUAUAGAAUCUUGAGUUGAUUGAUGCUGGCCUGUGUUCUCUUUUUCUGGUGGUUGAAAAUAUUUUCAAGUCAUAUUUUUCUCUUGUGCUUGUUGCGGUUUGGUUUUGUUUUUUUUUUUUCUGAUUUGUGUUUUGGUUUGGCUUUUUGCAUCAGUGGUUGUGAUUUCUGAUCUUUGUCUGUGUCUCCUAAUGCGUUUUCAAGGUGUUCUGAGGGGUUGAGUUGCGAUUUAUUCCAGGGUUAGAAUGGUUGAUGUGCUUUUGUUGAAGCCAUGAUUCCCCCUUGAUUGACUUUCUUCUGAGGCUCUUCCUUUGAAUGAUUUUGUCUCUCCUCUGUUGCUUUGAUCGUCAUGUGUUUCUCGGUUUGGCUUGUGAUGUUGAUUUUUGAGUUGUUGAUUUCCUGUGUCGUGGCGAUCUUGGUUUGUUUUAUGUUCAAAUCUUGCAUGGGGUUUUUGUGUUUUGAUUGGACCUUGGCCUUUUUUUUUGGGAGGUUUGUAUUUGCUAGUGAUUAUCUCCAUCCUUCUUUAGUGGAGACUUUUCACAGCUUUUUUGUACUCCUUUCGUAUUAACUCAAUGUGCUUUGCGUUUCAAAAGAAAAAAAAAAGGAUAGAAACCUUAAGCUUGAGGCAUAACCUUCUCUCUUAAUAUGCUCAAAAAAUCUUAAAACAAGCAAUAUGUUGUAAAAUAUAACUUUAAAAGAAAAUAUUAGAGAGAAGUAGUAAGAAUGUAAGAAAAUGUUUUAUUUCAUUUCUUGUUUUAGUGCAUCUAUCAACCAUCAACUACAAUGCCUUUAUUUAUAGGCACACAUAGAUGGAGAGGAAAUGAAUUUACAUAAAUAGAAAGGAUGAACUUAAUAGAUAAAAAUGUACAUACACUGAAUGAAACCAGGAGAUAAAAAUGUAAUGACAUAAAUAUGUACAUUGGAUAUGGGGAGAUACAUUAGAUAUUAUAAAGUACAAUAGAUAUUCACAUAUAUUUAUAACACUUUCCCUUAAAUGUUCAUUGUACUACCUCAUUAAAAACCUUAAGCCGGAAAAAUCUAGUAGGACAAAAACUAAUCAGAAGGAAAAAAGAGUAUAGUGGAUGGUCCAUAUUUGCUCCCUUUCAAUUGAGCCAUAUUGCCACUUCUGGGGUCUAUCCCUUUAAUGUCCAUUAUAUUGUCUCAUUAAAAACCUUAAGUCAAAAAAAUACUAUGGCACAAAAAUACAGUGCACCCCCUCAAUUGAUCCAUAUUGCCACUCUAGUGGCAAAUUAAUCUUGCAUCUUGUUAACUUCUCCAUUCCAAUGUCAUUUACUAAUUUCUCAAAUGUUGAUGUUGGUAAUGAUUUAGUAAAAAGAUCUGUAAGAUUAUUGGUGGAGCGAAUUUGUUUAAUGUCAACUUGUCGACUUUCCCAGAAUUCAUGAGUGUAGAAAAAUUUUGACAAGAUAUGCUUGAUCCUAUCACCUUUAAUAUAUCCUCCCCUAACUUGUGCAAUGCAAACAACAUUAUCUUUAUAAAGUAUAGUCAGAGAAUUCGUAAGUGGUGUUAAACAACAAGAAUUAUGAAUAUGCAUUAUAACAAAUCUCAACCAAACACACUCUCUUCUAACUUCAUAUAAGGCGAUAAUCUCAAAGUGGUUGGAGGAUGUAGCUAUUAGCAUUUGUUUAGUAGAGUGCCAAAAAAUGGCAGUGUCGUUAUAGCAAAAUAAAUAACUAGUUUUGAAAGCAAGGCUUUUACAGAUUAGAUUUACAUCCUGCAUCAGCAAAUCCAACUAAGCCAAAGUUAGUGGAAUCCUUGGAAUAAUAUAAUCUCAAAUCUAUAGUUCUUCUGAGAUAACAAAAAAUGUGUCAUGACCCGGAACUCCCAUCGAGCCCGUGACAACCGCCGCGACGUCCCGAUAGACAUUCAUUACUCGAAAUGUCAAUCGAAACCUCGCAAGGCUUAACAUCAGUUUUUCUCACUUCCCCCAUGAGUAUUAGUUACUAAAAUCAUGUUUUGAGAGAUUAUAAACUAUUUCCAAUUCAAAACAAUAGAAAAAUAAUUUUUUCCUCACAGGGGUAUUUUGAUCAUUUUUCCUCAAAAAUCUCGAAAUCCACUAAAAUGUAGUAAGCAAGUACAAAACACAUAAUUCAUAAUCAAAAAUGAGUUUUAAAGUCUAAAAUCUUCAUUUAAAACGAAAUUUUGAUUAUUUGGAUAUAAUAAGAAAAUAAAAGAAAUAUUAAGUAAAAUAUUCUAUUUUCUUAUAAAAUAAUAUUUAUAGAGUUAUACGUAAAUAAUUUUUGUAGCGUAAAAGCUAAAUAAAUUCAUACAUACUGUAAUACAGUAAGUCAGAGUAUUUAAUUUAAUUUGCAAUAACAAGUGGGCCCCCGAAUAACCAAAAGUAAAGAGGACAAUUGUCACGACCCGGAACUCCCAUCGGGCCUGUGACAACCGUCGCGACAUCCCGAUAGGCACUCAUUACCCCGAAUGUCGAUUGGAACCCUACAAGGCUUAGCAUCAGCUUUCGCAUCUCCCCGGUGAGCGACAGUUAUUAAAUCUUGCAUUUCAAGAAAUCAUAAGUCGUUUCCAAAUCAAAACAAUAAAAUAUUAUUUUCUGGCUCACAGGGGCAUUUUCGUUAUUUUUUUUUGAAAAUACCGAAACCCACCAAAAACAUGGUGUAAAAGCUAAAUAUGUUCAUACAUAUUUUAAAUCAAAUAACUAAAAUACAAAUUUACUUUUACAAUGACACGUGGGCCCCUAACUAACCAAUAAGAUGCGAGUCUGUGAACCUAUAAUUUUGACAAUGCAAGGCUAAUUGAAGUCCUUGAUGCAAUUGGCUAUCUACCGGCUAUCUCGAAUCUGAAAUGUGGGGAAUUGAGGGUGGUGAGAUUAUAAAAUCCCAGUGAGUAAACAGACACCAUCUAAACUAUCUAAAGGUGAGUAAAUGGAGAUAAUUAAAAAAUAAUUAACUUCGGUAAAUUUUUUACAUCACGAAUAUUCAUUUCAACCAAAUAAUCAAUAUGGCUCGUGAAUUACUCAAAACUUGGCUCAUGCCAAAUCCUGUACUCGGUGACACUUGGACUAGGGGUAUCCAACCGAGUCCGCCAAGGCUGUUAAAAAUUCAUAUUUCGCAUAAAUCAUAUUUUUAUUUCGAAACAUAGCCGUUCCUUGGCAUUGGCUGAGUCUCACUCUCACGCGGUGGUCCACAUUAAGUGCACUCAAAAAGCCCACCUCAAGAGAUACCCUACGCGCCUCUACGACCGAGGUGAGAAUAUAAAAGAGUUUACCGUGCCCCUCUAAUANNNNNNNNNNNNNNNNNNNNNNNNNNNNNNNNNNNNNNNNNNNNNNNNNNNNNNNNNNNNNNNNNNNNNNNNNNNNNNNNNNNNNNNNNNNNNNNNNNNNNNNNNNNNNNNNNNNNNNNNNNNNNNNNNNNNNNNNNNNNNNNNNNNNNNNNNNNNNNNNNNNNNNNNNNNNNNNNNNNNNNNNNNNNNNNNNNNNNNNNNNNNNNNNNNNNNNNNNNNNNNNNNNNNNNNNNNNNNNNNNNNNNNNNNNNNNNNNNNNNNNNNNNNNNNNNNNNNNNNNNNNNNNNNNNNNNNNNNNNNNNNNNNNNNNNNNNNNNNNNNNNNNNNNNNNNNNNNNNNNNNNNNNNNNNNNNNNNNNNNNNNNNNNNNNNNNNNNNNNNNNNNNNNNNNNNNNNNNNNNNNNNNNNNNNNNNNNNNNNNNNNNNNNNNNNNNNNNNNNNNNNNNNNNNNNNNNNNNNNNNNNNNNNNNNNNNNNNNNNNNNNNNNNNNNNNNNNNNNNNNNNNNNNNNNNNNNNNNNNNNNNNNNNNNNNNNNNNNNNNNNNNNNNNNNNNNNNNNNNNNNNNNNNNNNNNNNNNNNNNNNNNNNNNNNNNNNNNNNNNNNNNNNNNNNNNNNNNNNNNNNNNNNNNNNNNNNNNNNNNNNNNNNNNNNNNNNNNNNNNNNNNNNNNNNNNNNNNNNNNNNNNNNNNNNNNNNNNNNNNNNNNNNNNNNNNNNNNNNNNNNNNNNNNNNNNNNNNNNNNNNNNNNNNNNNNNNNNNNNNNNNNNNNNNNNNNNNNNNNNNNNNNNNNNNNNNNNNNNNNNNNNNNNNNNNNNNNNNNNNNNNNNNNNNNNNNNNNNNNNNNNNNNNNNNNNNNNNNNNNNNNNNNNNNNNNNNNNNNNNNNNNNNNNNNNNNNNNNNNNNNNNNNNNNNNNNNNNNNNNNNNNNNNNNNNNNNNNNNNNNNNNNNNNNNNNNNNNNNNNNNNNNNNNNNNNNNNNNNNNNNNNNNNNNNNNNNNNNNNNNNNNNNNNNNNNNNNNNNNNNNNNNNNNNNNNNNNNNNNNNNNNNNNNNNNNNNNNNNNNNNNNNNNNNNNNNNNNNNNNNNNNNNNNNNNNNNNNNNNNNNNNNNNNNNNNNNNNNNNNNNNNNNNNNNNNNNNNNNNNNNNNNNNNNNNNNNNNNNNNNNNNNNNNNNNNNNNNNNNNNNNNNNNNNNNNNNNNNNNNNNNNNNNNNNNNNNNNNNNNNNNNNNNNNNNNNNNNNNNNNNNNNNNNNNNNNNNNNNNNNNNNNNNNNNNNNNNNNNNNNNNNNNNNNNNNNUUUUUUUGUUUUAUUAAUUCCUUAAAUUCUAGCCAUCCAUUUAUUUCCAAAUUUUCACCAUACACUUGUCCCACAUAUCCAUAGCUUAGAUAAAAUUCUCAGACUUAUCCAAAGUCUUGGUGGAGUAAUUUUUUGAAAUUACACUUUUAUCCCCGUAAAAGUCAAAAAUUACAUUUUUGCCCCAAAAACUGAAAAAUUUCCCAUAGACAUAUUUUUCAUCCCUAAUACUCAUACCAUUCUCCAAUUUGUCAAAUGUGAUCUAAAUUCUCUCAAAAUCUCAAAUUUUGUUCGCAUAUGGAAAAAUUACGAUUUUGCCCCUACACUUCAGAAAUCACCGAAAUUAAACUUUUUCAUUGCCAAACUCUCAAAUUAAACUCUAAUAAGUUUAAUAUAAUCAAUCUUAAUCAAAUGGGAUUAAAAAUUUCCAUAUUCGUCCUCAAGUGGCAAAUUACCAUUUUACCCCUAAAAUACUUAAAGUUUGGAUUAACUCCAUAUCGGACCUCGAACUCUGAAUCCUCAUUUUAAAUCAACCCAUAGGUUUUAGUUCUCUCAAAUUCAUCCUCGAUUCUCUGUUUAAACUAGUUCAAGACUUAUUUGACUGAACCGUACCAUCAGGGGCAAUAUCGUCUUUUAAUGAUUCCUCGAACUUCCUAAACAUACAAACAUUCUAUUGAGUAUGUAAAUGACGUCGUAAUUAUUUUAUAGAAUCGGGUUUGACAACAGUGAACCUACAGUUUGAAGGAAUGCAAAUCCAAGGGUAGUCCUCGAUGAACUCAGCUAUCUACAGCCUAAUCUGAACCUGAAAUGGGUGAAAAAGAGAAUGGUGAGAUUUUAUAAUACCAGUGAGUAAAUAAACAUCAUUCAAAAGAUCUAAAGUCGAGUAAAAGGAGACAAUUAAAAUAUUUCAUCUCAAUAUGUAUUUCAUAACAUAAAUAUUCAUUUCAUUUAAAUAUUUAACAUGGCUUAUGAGUAUCUUAAAAGCUUGGCUCCUGCCAAAAUCAUUCUCGGGGAUACCUUGGCCGAGGCAUCUAACCGAGUCUGCCAAGGCUGUUAAAAAGUUCGUAUACACGUAAACAUAUUUUUAGUUUGAAAAACAUAGUCAUUCUUUGGCGUUAGCGGAGUUCAUCAUCACGAGGUGGUUCGACGUGACGUGAACUCUAUCCAUACCUCAAGAGAUACCUUACGCACCUCUCUGACCAAGGUACAUAUAUAUAUAUAUAUAUCUGGAUUCCGUGCCCCUCUAAUGGGCUGGUCCACAGAAUCUGCCUACUGUAGCAAGCUAAACCCACCAUACAAUAAAAUUUUGACAACAUGACAUGGCUAAUAUUUUACUAUCCAGCAUACAAGGGUAAAAUAAAACAAUUUAUAUAAUUCAUAAAACACAACCCAGCCAAUCAUGCCAACACAAUAACAAUAUAACAUAAGCCAUCAAUUUCCAAUCAUAAAUUUACAACAUACCGGUGGUCUCCAAUUACUCUAUUUUCAAAAUCGUUAUUUCGUUUCAAGACAAUUUAUAAAAUCUUUUCAUUUAAACAUAUUUUUGUUCAUUAAACCUAAAAUUAGCCAUUUAACUCAUUUUUCAUAAAAUUUCACCAAAAUCGAAUUAAAACAUACUUUAGAUAAUUAAAAUGAUAAUAAGGUUACUUACUAUUUCAAGAGUAGAAUUUCUAAAGUACUUUGACUACCGAUCCUCGAGUACAAUUUUUUUGCCUUUAUCGGAGGAUUCACCACCUAGACAUAGUACAAAAUCGAGAAACUUACUACAUUGGUACUAAAUCGAAAUUAAACUAAUUUAGACUACUAAUACAUGAUAUGGAAUGCAAAAAUGUCCGAAUAGCCGUUUAAAUACGGUAUUCGACCUAAUUCGCACUAUUCUCGUUGUAAUUGGCUAAAACCUCUAAUUUAACUCCAAAUCGAUUUCUUUCACUUUCUACACUCCAAUUAUACUUAAAAUACCUCAAUGAUUGUGAAUGUAAUUCAAUUUAUCUGUCCGAACCAUAAAUCUCACAUGUUUAUACAUUAGGUAAAAAUUCAAAUUUUCAUGCCAAAAUUUCUCAUUAAAUUUCUAGCCUCACCAAUCAUUAAAUACCGUCAAAAUAUCAUGAAAUAUCAUCAAUUUCAGCCUCAAUAUCCUCCCUAGAAAAUUCGGCCUCUUAUGGGUUUGUGAAGAACAAAGUGAUUUCUUACUAGAUUUUCAUACUUUCCAUUACUAAACAACCAAAAACACUUAAUUAACUUGAAAUCUAGCAAAAUUAAUGCUCAAAACCUCUCCUCUCAAAUUCGGCCAGCAUGGGUUCAUCAUGAAAACUUGAGUUCUAAGCAUGGAAAAUGAAAAAAAAAGCAUGGGUAGUGUAAAUCACAAGAUAAAAUCACAAAAUUUUACCUUUAUUAACUUAAUCCCUUAAAAUCCCACACUUUUUCUUCAAUUUUCCCACCUAGGUUUUGUUCUUUCUUUGUUCUUCUUCACUUCAUACUUUGGCCAGCCAUAAUGAAGAAAAUAGGCUGAUUUUUGCUGAUUUUAAAGCUAAAAAAAUAAAUGGAUAUAAACUUGACACAUGUCACCAUCCCAUUGGUCCAUUUUUUUAAACUUAACAAUUAAGCAAUCUCUCUCCACCACUUAAAUUUUCUUCAAUUAUCCAUGAUAAUAUUGGAUAAAAUCCAUAUGCUGGACAAGUGUCGGGUGUGUAAAACUACAAUUUUGCCCCUGAGGUGGCAAAAUUAUCAUUUUACCCCUAUGCUUCGAAAAAUACCGAGAUUACAAUUUUUUUCACUUCUCAACCUCAAAUCAUGCUUCAAUACUCAAAUCAUACUCUAAUAAGUCAAAUGGGGCCAAAAAGAUCUUUUCUAAAAAUUUUCAUUUUGUCACCAGGUGGCAAAUGACCAUUUUGCCCCUGGAUAGUGAAAAUUUCGAUUUGACUCCAAAUUGAUCCUUAAACUCCGAAUUACCAUCUUGAGUCAUCCAUGGACUGUGAAGCUCUUAAUUUCACCUUAAAAUUUCUAUUUGAUCUAGUUCAAGGCUUAAAUCAACUUUGUUGUACCUCUAGGUACAAUACUUACUUUUGUAAAUUUUUCAGGACUCUCCUAGCAUGCAAUCAUGCUAUCAUCACAUGUAUGUCAUGACAAGUAUUUUAUAAGGUUAAGCUUUACAAAAUAUGUUUUAUUCCAUUUCAAUGUCUCCAAGUUGGCUCAAAACAAAAACGUGCCAGCAAAUUUUCUACAAAAACGAUAUUGAGUCUCGUACAUUGUGCCAAGUACACCAAAGUCCCAAUUACAUUGAGAUAUGGUACUUUAGGAGCUAGUAUAUCCUCAUUAGGUUCUCUAGGAUGAAACGAAUCCUUUUGGGGAUUAAAAAACCUUAUAACCAUAAGGGUCUCGAAGGAUGAACCUCAUCCAUGUUAAAACGUUUAAGCAACCUCUCAAUAUAUGCUGACCGAUGGACAAGUAUUCCAUUUGCUUUGUGCUCAAGUUCUAAACUAAGACAAAGUCUGGUUUUACGAAAACUUUUAACUUCAAACUCCCUUUUCAAAUAUUCAACAGUUUUAGAUAACUCUUCUAAGUUCUAAUCAAAUUCAUAUCAUCGACAUAAACUUCUAUCAUAGCAAAUCCGAUUUUUGAUUUCUUAAUAAACACGCAUGGGUAGAUAGGAUCAUUUUUGUACCCUUCCUUAAUUAAGUACUUGCUUAAACGUUGAUGCCACAUGUGACAGGAUUGUUUUAACCCGUACAAAGAUUUUUGCAACUUUGUUGACAAUAAGUUACAAGGAGUGUAUGCUUCAGGCAUUUUGAAUCUCUCGAGAAUUUUCAUAUAAAUAUCGAAGUCUAAUGAACCAUAUAGAUAUGUCGUCACAAUGUCCAUAAGACGCAUUUCUAGUUUCUUAGAAACUACUAAGCUAAUAAGGAAAUGAAAGAUAAUCAUAUCCAUCACAGGUGAAUAUGUCUUAUCAUAAUCAAUCCCAUGUCUUUGAGAGAAACCUUGGGCAACAAGUCGGGCUUUAUACCUCACGACCUUAUUUUUCUCAUUUCGUCUCCUAACAAAUACCUACUUGUAUCCAAUGAGCUUUACAUUGUUAGGGGUUCAAGAUAUAGGCCCGAAAACUUCUCGUUUAGCUAAGGAAGCUAAUUCAGCAUAGAUUGCUUCCUCCCAUUUGGGCCAAUCUUGCCUUUGAUGAUAUUCGAUAAUAGAUCAUAGUUCAUAAUCAUUGUUUAUAAUCUCAUGAGCAACUAAGAGUGGAAAAACAUUAUCGAUGAUUAUCUUAUUCAGAUCCCAAAUCUCAUUACAAUAUGUAAUGAAAAUCUCAGUAUUUUUAGGGUCGACGGUCUUUUCAUGGGUUUGUGCCUCUUUAUGGGCAAUAAGUUCUCCUGGAGUAAGCUCAACACCAGGCUCUUCUGGAGUGGAUUCGUGAAUCUUCCCCUUUUAUUUUUGAGGGACAAUGUUUUUUUAUCCUAUUUGUCUUUCACACUUCAAAUGUGAGCCAUUUUGAUCUAUUUCAGCCUAUUCUUCAAGAAUAGUAAUCCUAGUUGGAACAUUCAUAGUUGGAAUAUGAGGCUUUGUAAUCUCGGCAGCAUCAUUAAAUGCGUCAGAAAGUCUAUUGGCAAUAGCUUGCAAAUGGAUUAUACGCUACACCUCAUUUUCACAUUUAAGAGUUCUUGGGUCUAAAUGGGAUAGAUUUUUCUCAUUCCAAGAGAAAAUCUCAACUAGUUGUUGUUUCCCAGCCAUGGAAGCCUUAGGUAUUCCAAUUAGUAGAAACAUUGUUUCAUCGAAAUGACAAUCUGCAAAUCUGAAGGUAAAAAGAUCACCCAUUGUUGGUUUUAAGAACCUAAUAAUAAAUGGUGAAUCAAACCCAACGUAAAUGCCCAAAUGGUGUUGGGGAACAAUUUUUGUCCUUUUUGGCGGUGUUACAAGCACCUACAUAGCUCAACCAAAGGUGCGUAAAUGUGAAAUGUCUGGCUCAUAGCCUAGAACCACCUGCAUGAGAGAUUGCAAGAGACUAGCAGUGGGGUGCAUCUAAUUAGUGCCAUCACAUGCAAAAUAGCAUGACCCCACGUUGAAUAGUUGAGCUUUGUCCUCCAUAAUAAAGUCCGAGCAAUAAUUUGAAUUUAAUCAAGAAUUCUGCCAAUCCAUUCUGAGUAUGAACAUGUGAAAUCAAGUGUUAAACCUUAAUUCUUGGUGAAGCACAAUAUACAUCAAAGCUCUUUGAUGUAAAUUCACCAACAUUAUCCAUCCUUUUGCUUUUGAUUGGAUAAUUAAGGAAAUGUGGACAAAGCUUUAUAAUCUGUGCAAGUAAACAUGCAAAUGCGAUGUUGCAUGUAGAUACCAGGCAAACAUGGAACCAUUUGCAGGAUGUGUCCCUUAAUACCAUGAAAUAUCUGAACAGCCCACUUGCCAAUUGUAUUGGUCCACAAAUAUUAACUUAGAUUCUUUGCAAUAAUGAAAGGGAUUCAAGAUUCACCUUUGUCAUAGAAGGUUUAUUAAUGAGCUUUCCUUGUAAACAACUUUCACAAGUAUAAUCUUUGGACAACAAAAUCUUUUUAUCCUUUAAAAGGUGUCCUUUAGUAUUAUGGAUUAUCCUACGCAUCAUUGUAGUUCUCGGGUGACCUAGGCGAUUAUGCCAAAGUCUAAACUCAUCGAGAUUUACCAGUUUCUAACACACGGUAGCUUAGGAUUUCCUGAUUCGAGUCUACCUCGACCCUAAAGUCCUAUAUCAAUGAUGAGUUACUUUAUUUUGAUAUCACUUAUCAUGCACCUACGUUCCAACCUAAAUGACAUGUCUAUUACCGAUGCAAGUCCUUAUUUAUAAAUAGAAAACUCAUCUCAUCUCUUACUGUGUAGGAUCAUGACACUCACAUUCUAAUUUAAAGUUCAAUUUGCUAUUUAAUGCAACCAACACAAAUACUAUUUCGAUGUGUAUCCAAUAAAUUCCCUAGGUUCGAAUUUUCUUUUGGGACGAAGGUUUGGGUUUUGAAUUGGUCGAAAGGUGGUUAAGAAAGAAGAGAAGGUUUUUUAAGGGAGAUUGGGGCCAUGCACAAAAAUGGUGCCGUUUGAGAAAAAAAAAGAAGAAAAGGAAAAAAAGCACGGACCUAAGCAACCUCGGCCCAAGUUAUAGCCCGAUUUGUGAAUUAAAACCAAAAAGGUUAAAGCCCAACCUAGUUGGAUCUUGGAGGUAUGAUUUGAGUUUAUUUUGUGUUAUUUUGAGCUUAUCAUUUAUUAUUUUAUUAUUUGUAAUGUAUUUAGUCAUUUUUUAUUUUUUUUAAAUGUAAUUUUAAUAAAUAUUUAACAUUAAUAAAAUUAUAAAUAAAUAAAAUAGUUAUUUGAAUUAAUUCCUCACGAUGGAAUUUUAUUUGAAUUAUGUAUCAAUAUUUUUUAAAUUGAUUUUCCUAGGGUGAGGAAUAAUUUGAGACUCCAUCAAAGUGUUGGAAGAGCUUAUUAAAAUUUAUUCCAACAUCCAAGUUACUUCACAUAAUCAUCAAAUAAAGAAAUAUUUGUAUUUUCUUUCUGCUACCUGGCUUGUUUUGUUUCUACUAUUUCUCUACUUCCCUAUAUGCUACCUCAAAUGAAAUAAAAUGUUUCCUCGCCUUUCAAAAAAAAUGUAGAAAAAAUGUUAAUUUUAUUUUUCUCUUAUUUUAUACAAAGAAAAUGUAUUAUAUUUUAUAUAUGUAUAUAAGUAUGUAUGUAUUUAAUUAUAUAUGUACAUAUCUAUAGUAUUAGCUGUUCAAACUUUGUUUGUGCAAUUUUUUUUUCAUACGUAAGUAACAACUUAGAAAAGUACAGUCUUUGCCAUUAUAUAUAUAUAUAUAUAUAUAUAUAUAUAUAUAUAUAUAUAUAUAUGCAUGUAAAUCUCUCUUUAUUUGUAAUUUUUUUUGUCCAAAAUGUUCUAUCCUAAUUACAAUAUUUUUAAUAACACAUUUAAAAAUUAAAUGCAAAUUUUAUUGGAGAGUGUUUUUUACUUUGGCUUUAGACUCCAGCUAAUUAAAUUUUCAAAGGAAGAUUUGCUUUCAUUUGCAACCAGAGAAUAAUUAGCGGACAACCAAGAUAAGAUUAUCCUAGUUCUUAUUUAACCUUUCUUUUUGAACUUUUUUAUACAUAUCCAAAAAAAUAUAAAUUACGGAACUGAUUAAUCCAUUUAGAAUUAUUAUUUUGUUUUUCAAUAAGUCGAUGGUGGAAUUUAAGACUACACAAAUGAAUUUAUAGGAUUGUUUAAGUGAUUUUAUUUAUAUUUUAUUGAGGGUUUAUUUUAAUCUUCCUACUGUGACUAUGUAGAUGAACUUAGAUAGAUUACAAAGAUUCCUUUUCUGUUAGUUUCGUUACGUGUAAAAUCAGCUCAGAGCUAUGAUUGGCUUGUGUUGAAGUAAUUGGCUUUAAUUAAUUAGUUGACUUGACUGACUUUUCAAACGAAGACAAGUGGGGAGAAAAACUGCCCCAUUAAAAGUUGACUGAAACAUGUGCAAUUUUGCUAAUAUCUGCAUGUGAUUUUUUUGUCCAAAAUAUUACCAAAAAAAAUUUUAUAGAACAGUGAUGAAAUGCCCCAUACUUUGAUAUGGUGAUAAAUAAAGUUGAUCGGAUGCGAAUUGAGACAUAAUAAGGUAUUUUGGGAACUAAAGAGACAAGAUAAAAUUUUUGGAAUAAAAUAAUAGUAAAAUAUUAACAUUUAACCGGAUGUCGAAAUCAGUCAUGAAGAAGGAUCAUAUGGUUAAUCCGAGUAGGGGAUAAGAUGUCAAGUCUGACUCUAUAAAAUACUUGUCAUGACAUACAUGUGAUGGAUAACAUGUUUACAUGCUAGAAGAGUCCCGAAAAAUUUACAAAAGUCGAUAUUGUACCUAGAGGUACAACAAAGUUUAUUUAAGUCUCGAACUACAUCAAAUAGAGAUUUUAGGGUGAAAUUAAGAGUUUCACAGUCCAAGGAUGACUCAAAAUGGUAAUUCAGAGUUUGAGGAUCAAUUUGGAGUCAAACCAAAAUUUUCACUAUACAGAGGUAAAAUGGUCAUUUGUCACCUGGGGACAAAAUGAAAAUUUUUACAAAAGAUUUUUUUGGCCCCAUUUGACUAAUUGGAGUAUGAUUUGAGGCUUAGAAGUGAAAAAUUUUAAUUUCGGUAAUUUUCGGAGCAUAGGUGUAAAAUGGUAAUUUUGCCACCCCAAGAGCAAAACAGUAUUUUCCACCACCAGAACACUUGUCCAGCAUAUGGAUUUUAUCCAAUUUUAUCAUGGAUAAUUGAAAGAAUUUAUAUGGUGGAGAGAGAAAGCUUAAGAGUUAAGAAAUAAAAAUGGACCAAUGAAAUGGUAACACAUGGCAUAUUUAAAACCAUUAAAUAUUUAACUUUAAAAUUAAUACAAAAUCAGCCCAUUUCUCAUUCAUAUGGCUGGCCAAAGAAGAACAAAGGAGGAAAGGAAAAAAAACAAGAACCCUAGGUGGGAAAAUUCAAGAAAAAGUGCAGGAUUUCAAGGGAUUAAGCUAAUAAAUAUAAAAUUUCUUGAUUUUGACUUGUGAUUUACACUACCCAUGCUUUCUUUUUCAUUUUCCAUAGUUAGAUUUCAUGUUUGCAUGGUGAAUUCAUGGCUGGUUAGAAUGGGUAUGGAGAGAGAAUGAAGUUGGAUUGAUUUGAUUCUAAGUUAUGUUAGUGUUUUUAGUUAGUUUAUCAUGUCCAGAAACAAACCAACAAGAAAAAUUUAUUUUCUCUCAUUACCCAUCAUUGGUCGAAUUUUCUGGGGAGGAUAUUGCGGCUGAAAUUGAUGAUAUUUCAUGAUAUUUUGGUGAUAUUUGAUGUUUGGUGAGGCUAGAAAUUAAAUGGGAAAUUUUGGUGCGAAAAUCUAAAUUUUUGCUCAACGUAUGACAUGUGCGAUUAUCAAUCCGGGACUAAUAAAUUGAAUCUCAUUCACAGUCACUGAGGUAAUUUAGGUAUAUUUGGAGUGUAGAAAGUGAGAAGAAUUGAUUUGGAGUUAAAUUGGAGAUUUUAGCCGAUUAGACCGAGUAUAGUGUGACUUAGGUCGAAUAUCACAUUUAAGCAAUUAAUCGGACAUUUUGCAUUUCAUAUCAUGCAUUAGUAGUCUAAAUUAAUUUAAUUUUGAUUUAGUACCAAUGUAAUAAGUUUCUCGAUUUUGUAUUGUGUCAAGGUGGUGAGUCCUCUGACAAGGGCAAGGAAAUUGUACCCGAGGAUCGAUAAUCGGAGUACUUUAGAAAUUAGACUCCUGAAAUAGUGAGUAACCUUACCAUCAUUUUAAUUAUCUAAAGUAUGUUUUUAAUCGGUUUUGGUGAAAUUUUAUGAAAAUGAGUUUAAAUGGUAAAUCUUUGUGUUUUACAAACAAAAUGUGUUUAAAUGAAAAGAUUUUAUAAAUUGUCUUGAAAUUGAAUAAUGAUUUUGAAAAAUAGAGUAAUUGGAGACCACUUGUUAUGUUGUGAAAUUUAUAAUUUGAAUCGAAUGGCUUAUGACAAUAUUUGCAUGAAUGGNAUAAUGAUUUUGAAAAAUAGAGUAAUUGGAGACCACUUGUUAUGUUGUGAAAUUUAUAAUUUGAAUCUAAUGGCUUAUGACAAUAUUUGCAUGAAUGGAUGAAUUGAUAUUUGUGUUGAAAUAUAUGAAAUGUGCAUUUAGCCUUGGAAGGUUGUGAAUUACAAUAAUUGCCAUAUCAUGUUAUUGAAUUUUAUUGAUUGGUGGAAAAAUUAUUAGCUUACUACAGUAGGCGGGUUUCCGUGGACUAGCCUAUUAGAGGGGCACGGUAAACCCCAUUAUAUUUUACUUCAGUUGGAGAAACGAGUAGGGUAACUCCCGAGGUAUAACUUUUAGAGUUCACUUCACGCCAAACCACCACAUGAGGUGGAACUUGACCAACGCCAAGGAACGGCUAUAUUUUUAAAAUAAAAACAUGUUUAUGUGUACGUAACUUUUUAAUAGCCUUGGCGGACUCGAUUUGGGAUAGCCCUCGGCCAAGGUAUCCUUGAUAAUUGAGUAUGAGAAUAAUUUUUGGCAUGAGCCAAGCUUUUAAGAAAUUCAUAAGCCAUACUGAUUACUUGAUUUAAAUAAAUUGAUUUCAUUUGGUUGAAAUAAGUUGAAAGAUGAUAAAUUACAGUUUGAUGAAAUGUUUUAAUAGUCUCCUUUUACUCGACUUUAGAUAUUUUGAAUGAUGUUUGUUUACUCACUAGGAUUUCAUACUCUCACCACCCUCCUUUCUAUCCAUUUCAGGCUUAGAAUAGAUUGUAGAUAACUGAUUAUCAGCGAUGACUACAAUUGGACUUGCCACAUCCAAAAACUGUAGGUUCAUUUUUUUUAUACUUUUUGUCAUUCGUGGGCCCACACGUCACUAUAAAUUAAAUUUUAUACUUUGGUUAUCUGUAUUACAGUAUAAAUGAAUCUAUUUUGCUUUUACGCUGUAAAAAUUAUUUACGCAAUGUUCUAAAAAUAUUAUUUUAUAAGAAAAUAGAAUAUUUUGCUUAAUAUUUCUUUUAUUUUCUUAUUAUAUCCAAAUAAUCAUAAUUUCGUUUUAAAUGAAGAUUUUAGACUUUUAAACUCAUUUUGAUUAUGAACUAUGUAUUUUGUACUUGUAAAUUACAUUUUUUACCGGUUUCAAAAUUUUUGAGAAAAAUGACCAAAAUACCCUUAUGGGACAAAAAUUAUUAUUUUAUGUGUUUUAAGUUGGAAAUAGCUUAAAAUCUCUUAGAACGUGAUAUUUGGCAACGGUUACUCACAGGGGAAAUGAGAAGCUGAUAUUAAAGUCUUGUGGGAUUCCAAUUGACAUUCCGGGUAACGAAUGUCGAUCAGGACGUCACGGCGGUUGUCACGGGCUAGAUGGGAGUUUCGGGUCAUGACAAUUAGAGUGGUAUCAGAGCUUUUGAUUUUAAAGAUUAGAGCUUUUGGGUUUAAAAUUGCUUUAAAAAUUUACAGUGUCAGUGUGGCCCCAAGUCCAGUUAAGUUAAGUUAAGCCAGGUUAGGUUGAAUAAAAUGUAUGUGUCUGCAUAUAGAGCCUAAGGUUGCCUAAACUUGCUUGUUUCCUCUUAUAGAUCUUAUGGGAGCUAUAGGAAUUCCUGUUCCCAAUAAUCCACUUCCUUGUUAAGGUCAUGCAAAGGUCAUAAGUAGGGUCGUUGUCUAGGUUUAAGAUGCCACCCGUGACAUGAGCCAGUGUUAGAGAGAUCUUAAAACGAAUGCUCCUAAUGAAAGAUUAAUGAAAUGAUAUAACCCUCCGAUUAAGGAUGGAGAAAUUUAGAAUUGGACUAAUAGACCGUGAUAAUUUAUUCAUUUGGUGGAGUUAUAAUUGAACACAUGGUUGUCAAUUGGAAAAAGAUUUGAGAACUAUGGAUUGUAUUGGGGUUAAUAUAAAGAAGCACGUGUAAUAAUGGUAAUAAGGGGCACAAUUUGGUUAGAAUGAAUAGUGAUGGUUGUAAUUCACUUGGAGUGUAUAAAUUAAGUAUUGAGGUAAGAGUAAGCCUAUACUUAUGUGCAUGAAGAUAAGAACACUAUAUUAAUUGAGCUUGUUAUGCCAAUAUAUAAGUGGUGUUGAGAUUUUGAAAUAUUUUAUAGGUGAAUAUGUGUUGAAUAGGUACAGCAGCUUAGAGGGAACUGAUGUUGAUUUCAAUUAAGCGAUUGCGAGAUUUCAAGAAUUAAUUAGACCUAUUAUAGUUCAUGGAUAUAAGCAGGUGAAUUAACUCGAGAAUGAGUAUCAAUGAUUACUAUAAUUGAUGUGUGGUCAUGAAGUAAGAUGUUAGUAAACAAAUCUGCUCUAAGGAUGAGCUUGAACUUUGUUAUGCAUAGCAAAAGGGGGAGCUAAGGGAUUAAAGAACUAGAUGUGGAAUUGGCAGCUUGAGGUUAAAUGACUUGGAAAUGUCAAAUCCAGUCUAAGUGCCAUAUGAAGUUCUAUAAUUGAGAUUAAUAUACGAAUUACUUGAAAGAUCAAUUUAAAAGUUUAUUCGAUUCAAAGUGUGGCCUAUGAUACGAAUGAUCAGUCUUGAAGGUGAUCUCCCCAAAGUAAGGAAUUUAGAAAAUGCUGAUGUUUGGAUAUACUUUAAGAGAGAGAACUUCUACAUCCUAAGUUUAGGACAACUUUGAUUUUAUGAUCGCAAAGGCAAGGUGAAAUAACUAAGUAAAUUAUUUACUUAAUAAAUGUGAUUGGUUAUUGAUGAAUAAAGUCAAUAUCUUAACAUUUAGUGGUGUACAAUUUGAUAAUUAUGUAUUUAAGAGUUAUUUGGAGACAAUUCCUUCAUCAAAUUUGCACUAAAUGCUAUGGUAAAGGCAUAUCAAUGUUAAUAUGAAAAUGUAUCUAGGAAUGAUCUUAACAUAUCACCAAAGGAGAAUUAAACAUGUUGAAAUUAAUGUUCUAAUAGUGUGCAUAUGAUUGAAAGCUAGUUUGUAAGUUGUAGUUUUCAUGAUUAUGAAAUAUAUAAAGAUUAUCAAUAUAUGGGCAUACACUUGGAGUUAUAAUUUACAAGUUUGGAGUAUUUAAGAUAUGAUUAAAUGGAAUUAGCAUUAGUUAAGGUACGUAAAUCUUUUAAUUAAUUUCUGUGGAGUAUGCAUGAUAGUAAAAUGGAGGAACAUAGUGUCGUGAUACUAUAUGGUGAAGUUACUAUACAAUAUGGAAAGAGUAUUCUAAAGUGGGAUUUAUUGAUUGUUGACAAGUGUUAUAGGAUGAGAUGAAUUUGAAAAUAUUGACUUUACCUAUUAUAUGUGAUGAGCACAAGAGGAUAUAAAUGGUUAUGAAACACAUGAUAUAUGUCUAGAAGGGAAAGCCACUGCUUGAGAAUGAUUGAUGUGGUGACUUUGAAUGUAGACAAAUAGCUUUGAUGAGGAUUUUUCUAAUAGUUACAGCGCCGCAGCACUGACUGUCCAACGCUGUAAUGCUCUGAAUACCUCAUGCCUAUGAUGCAUGAGUAUGAUGGAAGUGGCACAAUAAUAAACUUACAAAUUGAAUUUUGGCUAUUGGUCAUUGAGCUUUAUUAUUUGGGAGUUUUAAAAAUUCUGGAGAAUGUUUACCUAAAUAAAUUAAAAAGCUUCUUUAUUGCCUCAUGUGUGAGCAUAUAAUAAAAAAAAAUUCUUGAGAUGGCUACCAUGAGAUAAGAUACCAAGAGAUGAAAGUAUGAAUGAAGAAUUACGAGACCGAUAUAGAAAACCAGUUUAUAUAGAGUAUCAUUAUGAGAACUUGCAAUUUCUAUCUUGAUUCAGUUAAAUGACAAGGGUUAGUAACAACAUGAGGCCAAUUGUGUGGCACCCUAGAAACCUAUGAAGAUGAGUUAGGGAUUGAAUGGAUGAGUACGUAUUUAUAUACCUUUAAGAUUAAGUGUUUUAAGAAUACAUAAACAUCUUUGAGAAGAAAUUUCUAGUCAUACAUGGCAAGUACGAAAUGUGAUAUUUUUAAAACUUGUUGAGGAGCCUAACGGCUAAGUCACAAGUUAAGUGAUCAUAUGCUGUGAGACAUAAGUUUAAGGUAGAUAUUCCCAAGGAAAUACUCAAGAAGAGUUUUGCUACGGAUUUUGUGGAAGCUAGCAUUAAGUUAUGUGGCUGUAAAAAGGAAGCUUUAAGUUGGAAGUGAAAUUCAUAUUGACAUUGAAAAGUACGUAGAAGGACUUUAUUUCAAGUCUUACAAUUUUAAGUACAAACUGCAGAUUGGUCUAGGGAGAAUGAUAUCACAUUAUUAUGGAAGAACAGAACAAAGGAUGAAUGAAGAUAAUUUGGAUAAUGAAGCUUGAUAAUGAAAAUUUCCUAAGGUAGUAUGGAAACUGGAAUUUGAAAAUGCAUAAGGCAUGCAUGAUUAGAAACAGUCUUAGUUUUUAAGUGACAUUUAGUAGGUGAGAUGUGAUUAAUGACAUUGUGAUGUGAGGACAUAGCAUGAUAAAACUCAAGCAUAUGGUUGGAAAUGAUAUAAAUGAUAUGAAGUUAUACGCAAGUAUAAUAAGAAGGUUGACAUGCACUAUAAGAAUUAUUAUAUUGAAACUAAGAUUGGGAUGUGGAUGAAUAAAGGGGAAUGUAGUCCAAGGCAUGUGAACACAUGGAUCCCUAUACAUAAUGAGAGAUGUUGACAUUUGAAAAUGCAUGUACAUAUGUAUAUAUGAAAUUGAUAAUUUGACUAACUAAGGUGAAGAAUGGUUCUCAGUAAUUGGGAGAUUUUGAAAUAAUGUCUAGAGAGGUCAGUGAGCUAAAGUGUUAACGGGCAUGCAAUGAACGAUUAAAGUUAUGAGUAACUUUGAAGGUAAGCCUUGGAUUGUUUAAGUUCUUAAUGGAACUCUGUUAAAGGAAGGGUAUGGACCAAUAUAAGAUGAAUGAAUCAAGGUUGAGAAAUUUGGCGUGGAGCAAAUUAAUAAAAUGAUAAUUAGGUAUACAUAAGUAAGUAUAAUAGGUAAUCAAAAUCGGUAUAAUUGAGAUGAAGUUAUGGUUCAAAUUUAAUAAGGGUAAUAAAGGCAUGCUUGGUGACUCAAUAUAAGAAAUCAUGAUUGUGAAAAGUACUGCUGAUCUGGCUUCAAAGGAUGAUAAUUGCCAUAAAUAAAGCAUUUAACUGAACUGAAGGAGAACGAGGUAAAUAAAUUGAAUGUCCCUAUAGAAGGAAAAAGGAAUAGGAUCAUAGAAGGAGAUUGAUAACGUAACAUUGACGUGAAUUCGAGGACGAAUUCUAUUUAAGUGGGGGAGAUUGAAAUGCCCCAUACUUUGAUAUGGUGAUAAAUAAAGUUGGUCAGAUAUGAAUUGAGGCAUAAUAAGGUAUUUUGGGAACUAAGGAGAUAAGAUAAAAUUUUUGAAAUAAAAUAAUAUCUUAUUAAUAAAAUAAUAGUAAAAUAUUAAUAUUUAACCGAAUGUCGAAAUCAGUCAUGAAAAAAGAUCAUAUGGUUGAUCCGAGUAGGGGAGAAGAUGUCAAGCCUGACUCUAUAAAAUACUUGUCAUGACAUAUAUGUGAUGGGUAGCAUGUUUGCAUGCUAGGAGAGUCUUGAAAAAUUUACAAAAGUCAAUAUUGUACCCAGAGGUACAACAAAGUUGAUUUAAACCUCGAACUAGAUCAAACAUAGAUUUUAGGGUGAAAUUAAGAGUUUCACAGUUCAGGGAUAACUCAAAAUGGUAAUUCGGACUUCAAGGAUCAAUUUGGAGUCAAACCGAAAUUUUCACUAUCUAGGGCCAAAAUGGUCAUUUGCCACCUGAGGACAAAAUGGAAAUUUUUACAAAAGAUUUUUUUGGCCCCAUUUGACUUAUUGGACUAUGAUUUGAGGCUUAUAAGUGAAAAUUUUUAAUUUCGGUAAUUUUCAUAGCAUAUGGGUAAAAUUGUAAUUUUACCACCCUAAAGGCAAAACAGUAAUUUUCCACCACCAGAACACUUGUCCAGCAUAUGGAUUUUAUCCAAUUUUAUCAUUGAUAAUUGAAGGAAUUUAUAUGGUGGAGAGAGAAAGCUUAAUAGUUAAGAAAUAAAAAUAGACCAAUGAAAUGGUGACACAUGGCAUAUUUAUAACCAUUAAAUAUUUAGCUUUAAAAUUAAUACAAAAUCAGCCCAUUUCUCAUUCAUAUGGCCGGCCAAAGAAGAACAAAGGAGGAAAGGAAAAAAAACAAGAACCCUAUGCGGGAAAAUUGAAGAAAAGUGUGGGAUUUCAAGGGAUUAAGCUAAUAAAGGUAAAAUUUCUUGAUUUUGACUUGUGAUUUACACUACCAUGCUUUCUUGUUCAUUUUCCAUACUUAGAUUUCAUGUUUUUAUGGUGAAUUCAUGGCUGGUUGGAAUGGGUAUGGAGAGAGAAUGAAGUUGGAUUGAUUUGAUUCUAAGUUAUGUUAGUGUUUUUAGUUAGUUUAUCAUGUCUAGAAACAAACCAACAAGAAAAAUUUAUUUUCUCCCAUUACCCAUCAUUGGUCGAAUUUUCUAGGGAGGAUAUUGCGGNGUGUUUUUAGUUAGUUUAUCAUGUCUAGGAACAAACCAACAAGAAAAAUUUAUUUUCUCCCAUUACCCAUCAUUGGUCGAAUUUUCUAGGGAGGAUAUUGCGGUUGAAAUUGAUGAUAUUUUAUGAUAUUUUGGUGAUAUUUGAUGUUUGGUGAGGCUAGAAAUUAAAUGAGAAAUUUUGGUGUGAAAAUCUAAAUUUUUGCUCAACGUAUAGACAUGUGUGAUUAUUGACCCGAAACUGAUAAAUUGAAUCUCAUUCACAGUCACUGAGGUAAUUUAGGUAUAAUUGGAGUGUAAAAAGUGAGAAGAAUUGAUUUAGAGUUAAAUUGAAGAUUUUAGCUGAUUAGACCGAGUAUAGUGUGACUUAAGUCGAAUAUCACAUGUAAGCAAUUAAUCGGACAUUUUGCAUUCCAUAUCAUGCAUUAGUAGUCUAAAUUAGUUUAAUUUUGAUUUAGUACCAAUGUAAUAAGUUUCUCGAUUUUGUAUUGUGUCAAGGUGGUGAGUUCUCUGACAAGGGUAAGGAAAUUGUACCCGAUGAUCGAUAAUCGGAGUACUUUAGAAAUUAGACUCCUGAAAUAGUGAGUAACCUUACCAUCAAUUUAAUUAUCUAAAGUAUGUUUUUAAUCGGUUUUGGUGAAAUUUUAUGAAAAUGAGUUUAAAUGGUAAAUCUUUGUGUUUUACAAACAAAAUGUGUUUACAUGAAAAGAUUUUAUAAAUUGUCUUGAAAUUGAAUAAUGAUUUUGAAAAAUAGAGUAAUUGGAGACCACUUGUUAUGUUGUAAAAUUUAUAAUUUGAAUCGAAUGGCUUAUGACAAUAUUUGCAUGAAUGGCUGAAUUGAUAUUUAUGUUGAAAUAUAUGAAAUGUGCAUUUAGCCUUGGAAGGCUGUGAAUUACAAUAAUUGCCAUAUCAUGUUAUUAAAUUUUAUUGAUUGGUGAAAAAAUUAUUAGCUUACUACAGAAGGCGGGUUUUCGUGGACUAGCCUAUUAGAGGGGCACGGUAAACCCCAUUAUAUUUUACCUCAGUUGGAGAAGCAAGUAAGGUAACUUCCGAGGUAUAACUUUUAGAGUUCACUUUACGCCAAACCACCACAUGAGGUGGAACUUGGCCAACGCCAAGGAACGGCUAUAUUUUUAAAAUAAAAACAUGUUUAUGUGUACGUAACUUUUUAAUAGCCUUGGUGGACUCGAUUUGGGAUAGCCUUCGGCCAAGGUAUCCCUGAUAACUGAGUAUGAGAAUAAUUUUUGGUAUGAGCCAAGCUUUUAAGAAAUUCAUAAGCCAUAUUGAUUACUUGAUUUAAAUAAAUUGAUUUCAUUUGGUUGAAAUAAGUUGAAAGAUGAUAAAUUACAGUUUGAUGAAAUGUUUUAAUAGUCUCCUUUUACUCGACUUUAGAUAUUUUGAAUGAUGUUUGUUUACUCACUGGGAUUUCAUAAUCUCACCACCCUCCUUUCCACCCAUUUCAAGCUCAGAAUAGAUUGUAGAUAACUGAUAUCGGUGAUGACUACAAUUGGACUUGCCACAUCCAAAAACAGUAAGUUCAUUUCUUUUGAUACUUUUAGUCAUUCGCGAGCUCAUGCGUCGCUGUAAAUUAAAUUUUAUACUUUGGUUAUCUGUAUUAUAGUAUGAAUGAAUCUAUUUUGCUUUUACGCUGUAAAAAUUAUUUACGCAGUGUUCUAAAAAUAUUGUUUUAUAAGAAAAUAGAAUAUUUUGCUUAAUAUUUCUUUUAUUUUCUUAUUAUAUCCAAAUAAUCAUAAUUUCGUUUUAAAUGAAGACUUUAGACUUUUAAACUCAUUUUGAGUAUGAACUAUGUGUUUUGUACUUGUAAAUUACAAUUUUUGCCAGUUUCGAAAUAUUUGAGAAAAAUGACCAAUAUAUCCCUGUGGGACGAAAAUUAUUAUUUUAUUUAUUUUAAGUUGAAAAUAGCUUAAAAUCUCUUAAAACGUGAUAUUUGGCAACGGUUACUCACAGGGGAAAUGAGAAGCUGAUAUUAAAGCCUUGCGAGAUUUCGGUUGACAUUCCGGGUAAUGAAUGUCGAUCGGGACGUCGCAGCGGUUGUCACAGGCUCCAUGGGAUUUCCGGGUCGUGACAAGUGAAAUCCGUAAAAGUUGUAUGCAAAAGGAUUUUUAACAACACAAGUUAAAGAAAAAAGUUCAAAGGAAGAUUUGAUUUCAAUUGCAACCACAGAAAUAAUUAACAAAGCAAUGAAGAUAACAUUAUCCUAACUCUUAUUUAAUCUUUCUUGUUAAACUUUUUUAUAUUUUACUAAUCUUUGAGCAAAAAUUAUAUAUCAAUCACUGAAUUAAAUAUUUAAAUGCAUGAUAUAAAUUUUUGUUACAUUAGCAAAAUUUUAAAAUUUAAAUAUUAGUAUAAAAUUAUUAUAAAAAGUAAUUAUUAUUAAAUGCUUAAUUUUAUUACUAAAUUGUUAAAAGAGAGUUGAGGUUUGAGGAUGGAAGCUACUUUUUUAGCCACUUAGCCUUUUCUAUAUGUAACAAAAGAAGAUGUAAAAUAUGGACUCAAAUGUGUUUCUUGUGAGGCCAUCUUGUUUUUUAUGGUACUGUUGGAUCAUAUUAACCUCAAAGCUUUUGUACAGUUUUAAUUGAUGAGUUAAAUGUUAAAUAUAUUCACAUGUACAUGUAUAUACACAUACAUGAAUAAUGAAUAGUAAUGAAAACUAAAUAUAAGCAAAUAUCAACUAUUAUUUGAUAAUAAUAGUGUAUCUUUCUUAAAUAAUCCACUAAAUAAAUAAUUUCUAUAAGAAUCACGAUACUAACCUGUAGUUAUAGCAAAUGUCAAGUUUCUUUCUUUACAAGCUCAUCUUUAGAGUUCUUUAGACUUUUUUUAAUGAGUUCUUCCAACCCAAAUGGUAAUUUUACAAUGAUGGUAAUAUGGUAUUUAUUUUAAAAAAAAAUUACCUUCAGUGGGGACCUAUAUGUUUAUUUAAUAAAUAGAAUCUCUUUCAUCAAGAAGAUGCCACUAUAUCAAAAUUAAAAAAUUUCAAAAAUAAUGAAUAAUUAUCAUAAUUUUAUUUCAAUAAUAAAUAACUAUCACAAUUUCAUUAAAACUGUAUCACUUAUUAUGAAAAUUAAAUAUUAAAACCAUUCAAAAUUGAAAAUUCCAAUUUAGUUGUCAAUUUGAACACAAAUUUUCUUCUUUCUUGUUUGAGUGGUCCUACUCAUCCUACCUGUAUUCAAAAGUAAGAAGAAAAACAUUUAAAGACCUUGUGACAUUUUGGUAUCAAUUGCUGACACUUUGACAUUAGUUGACUGAGUUUUCAGCCACAAAUUGAUUGGCUGCACAGUGAUCAGAUAAGUGACCUUCCCAGCUUCUUCACUUGCCUGAUUUGAAGUUAAAACUAUAGCCACUCAGCCUUCUUCUUCUCACCAAAUUUCAAGAUAUGCUAGAGCAAACCUUCCACUAUUCGGCCUCCUGGCCCUUGCUUUAUCAAAUUUCCCUAAUUUUUGCAUUGCUAGAGGCAAGCACUACGACUCUUCUUUCUGUGGAAACAUUAACAUCAGUUAUCCUUUUCGAUUAGAAACCCAGCCUCGUAGUUGUGGUUAUAAUAGGUUUGAACUAGUGUGCUAGAAUAACCGCACCAUUUUCCCCAUGAAAAAUGGGAAUUUCUAUGUCCAACACAUCUCUUAUAGUGACGAAAUCACUCAACUUUUAGAUGUGAGUCUUGGCAAUGAUAACUACUCCAUUCCUCAUAGAUCUUAUCCUUGGUACACCCUUUUUAGGAAAGAACUGUUGAAAGGUAAUUCAUAAUCUGACAACAGCAGCAUGUGAAGAACAAGUGAAGAGCUUCAACUUAUAGUGCAAAACGAUGGCGUUUCUUCAUCAGAAGUUCUAAGUUUUCAAAGUGUGCCAUUUUACUUCUUUUAUGUUUUAAGUUUGUAGUACUCAAAACGAUGUUGCUCAUAACGUUUUUAGCUCUGCUUAGUUAAAUCCUAUACGCUUCAUUAUAGUGUCGUUUUUGAGUCUAUUUUAAGGCUUAACAACCAUGGCUUUCUGUUUCAACUUUUUACUGUUGGUGGUCAUUAGUUUGUCUGUAGUUUGUUGCUGUGAUCCAAUUUAUCAAGAAAUGUUUUUGAAUUGUUAGAGUAUAUAUACAAGAAAUGAAAUAAAAUGAUUAGCUUCUUCUAGUAAGAAAUUUUCUAUUCAUAUUCUCUGUUUUUAAGCUUUGUUUUUUCGUUGCUUAGCUUUGCAACUUAGCUUUUAAUUUUCUUUAAUUGGUAUCAGAGCUAUCAGUGAUCUUAAGGGCCUAGGAUUUGAUCAGUUUGUGUAAAUAUGACCUCUGGAUUCAAUGCAUCAGCUCCACCAAAGUUCACCGGAGAGAACUAUUCAUUCUCGAGUGUGAAAAUGGAGGUUUAUCUCAGAACCUUCAUGUUGUGGGAAGCAAUGGAGACUGAUGAGGAACCAGUGCAAAGGAGAGUUAAUCCGACGAUAGCUCAGAUCAGGCAAUUUGAGGAAGACAAAGCUAAAAGGUACAAAGCUCUGUCUUGCCUUCACUCAGCUUUAUCUGAUGAAAUUUUUGCUCGGGUUAUGCAUUUGAAAUCUCCUAAGCAAGUUUGGGAUUAUUUGAGAGAAGAGUUUUUUGGGAGUGAAUGAACUAGGCAGAUUCAAGCAUUUAAUCUUACUCAGAAAUUUGAAAUGUUAAGAAUGGAGGACAAUGAAAACAUAAGGGAUUUUUCUGGGAAGAUAAUGGGAUUAGUGAACCAAUUGAGGCUACUAGGGAAAGCGGUUACAGAAGAGAGACUGGUAAGCAAAAUGUUAGUGAGUUUACUUGAGAAAUAUGAGACUAAGGUGUCCUCAUUAGAAGAUUCCAAGGAUCUAGCUCAGAUUACUUUUAAGGAGUUAGUUAAUGCUUUGAAAGGUCUAGAACAAAGAAGGGCUUUUAGACAAAAGAGUGCAUCAGAUUUUGCCUUAGUAGCUAAAGCUAAAAAUGUGAAAAUGAGAGGUAAUGGCUCGAAGAACAGUUUAAUUGAUAAGAAAAACAAAGGAAGGAAGAGUGAAGAUACUCAACAGGAGGAUCAGAAGAAGGAAUUUCCACCAUGCAAGCAUUGUAAGAAGACUAGUCAUACUGAAAAAUACUGCUGGUUUAGGCCCAAUGUUAAAUGCAGGGCUUGCAAUCAACAGGAUCAUGUGGAAAAGGUAUGUAAAAAUUAGGCGAAAGCACCUGAGAAAGCUGCUGUUGUAGAGCAUGCAAAUGAAGAUGUUGAUGAAGUUCUUUUUACGGCUACAAUUGAUGAAAAUUCAAGCAAUGUAACAGCUGGUGAGAAUUCAAGGAGAUCUAAUGUUUGGCUUUUAGACAGUGCUUGCUCCCAUCACUGGACAGGUAAUAAAUCUCUUUUCUCUACCCUUGACACAAGCUUUAAGUCAAAGGUUAAGAUAGGAGAUGGAAAUUAUCUGAAUAUUUUAAGAGUAGGAACUGUUGACAUUGAAACUGCUUCAGGCAAAACAAGUAUCUCUAGUGUGCACUAUGUUCCUACUGUUGAUUAUUAUCUGUUGAGUGUGGGACAACUAGCUAAAGAGCAUUACAGUAUUUUGUUUAAGGGUGAUAGUUGUAUAGUUUUUAAUUCUCAGGGUAAAGAAUUGAUUACAGUAUCUAUGAAAAACAAUUGCUAUCCUUUGAAUUUGGCUAAUGCUGCUCACUUAGCUUUAUAUAACGAACUGGAUGUGUUUGAAGUAUGGCAUCAAAGGAUUGGCCAUGUUAAUUACAAUACUUUGAUUCUGAUGUCUUCUAGAAACUUCGUGAAAGGAUUGCUUGUUAUUUUAAAAUCGGAUAAGAUAUGCCAAACUUGUCAGUUUGGUAAACAAACAAAAAAAUCAUUUCCUAUAGAAAGUAGAUGGAAGGCUACUAGGAAGCUGGAAUUGGUACAUACUAAUUUGAGUGGUCCCAUGAAGACUACUUCACUUAGUGGAAGCAAAUACUACAUCAUCUUUAUUGAUGAUUAUUCAAAGUUUUGCUGGAUAUUCUUCUUGAAGCAGAAGUCUGAAGCUUUGAGCUAUUUCAAGAAGUUCAAAACUACUGCUGAAAAUUUCUCAGGACAAUGUGUAAGAACCUUGAGGAUUGAUAGUGGUAAGAAGUAUACAUCUGCUGAAUUUGAGCAGUAUCUAGAGUCUUGUGGAAUACAACAUCAGUUAACUAUUCCAUAUAGUCUUCAGCAGAAUGGGAAAGUUGAAAGAAUGAAUAGAACCUUGACAGAGAUGGGGAAGUGCUUAUUGUACUAGAUGAAGAAGCUAGGGGCAUUUUGGGCAGAAGCUGUGAAUACAGCUAACUAUCUUUUAAACAGAGUUUCCCAUAUGAAAUGUGGUUUGAUCAUAAACCAGAUGUUUCCCAUUUAAAAAUAUUUGGCUUCAUUUGCUAUGAUAAGGUACCAAAUGUUAAGAGGACUAAGUUUGAUCCAAAAUCUGUGGCAGCAGUUCUGGUUGGCUACAGUGAAGUCUCUAAAGGCUACAGAUUGUUUGAUCCUAAACUGAAGAAGAUUUUUGUAAGUAAAGAUGUGGUAUUUGAUGAGGGGCAAAGUUGAAACUGGCCUAAUAGUGGUGCUGGACAGGUUGAUUUUACCAAAACAGCUGAUGUAGAGGCUCAACAAACUGUAGCUGAUGAUGAUUCUGAUCUGGAGGAUGAAAGUAAAGCAGUUAGAGGUACAAUAAGCUUAGCUGACAUUUAUAAUAGAUGCAAUGUUACAGUAACUGAACCAGCAACUUUCAAGCAAGCUCAGCUUGAUGACAAUUGGAAAUUAGCUAUGGAUGCUGAAAUGGAGAUGAUAUCUAAGAAUGGGAUAUGGAUUCUUAUUGACAAACCAGUUGACAAAAACAUCAUAAGAGUGAAGUGGAUUUACAGAGCCAAAUUUAAUCCAGAUGGUUUUGUAAAUAAGUACAAGGCUCGGUUGGUGGUCAAAGGAUAUGCUUAAGUUUAUGGGGUUGACUACAUGGAAACAUAUGCUCUAGUAGCCAAACAUGACACUAUAAGGAUGCUUGCUGCUUUGUCAUCCAGGGAGGCAUGGACAAUUUAUCAUUUGGAUGUCAAAUCAGCUUUCUUUAAUGGCAUUCUUACUGAAGACAUUUAUAUUGAGCAACCUGAAGGUUAUGUGCAGCAGGGGUCUAAGAUGAAGGUAUGCAAGCUUAUCAAGGCAUUGCAUGGCUUGAAAUAGGCUCCAAGAGCCUGGUACACCAGAAUUGAUAAAUACUUCAAGAAUUAGGGGUUUAUGAGGAGCAUAAAUGAAUCCACUUUGUAUGUGAAGCAUGAGCAUAAUACUGUGGAACUUAUAGUAGCAUUAUAUGUGGAUGAUCUUCUGGUUACUGGACCAGAAAGCAAGUAUGUGUCUGAAUUUAAAUCUCGGAUGAAGGAAGAAUUUAAGAUGACUGACUUGGGAAUUAUGACUUAUUUUCUUGGCAUGGAAGUGGUGCAAGCUACUGGUAAAGUCAUACUGCAUCAAGGUAAAUAUGCUCAGGAUUUAUUAAAGAAGUUUAAUAUGAGUAUGUGCAAGGUAGUCAAUACUCCAUUGUGCAUUGGUGCUAAAUUUAGUGUAGCAGAUGGUGCUGAGAUGGCUAAUGGACAUUUAUAUAGAAGCAUUAUUGGUUCUUUACUCUAUUUGGCAGCUACCAGGCCAAGUAUAAUGUUUGCAACAAGCUUGCUGUCAAGGUUCAUGCAAAAUCCUUCAGAAGUACACCUUGCUGUAGCUAAAAGAAUUCUAAGAUAUGUUAGAGGGACUGUGAAUUAUGGACUAGUGUACAUGAAACAGGAAAGUAGUCAACUGAUAGGUUUUUUUUAUAGUGACUAGACAGGUUCAUUGGAUGAUUCUAAGAGCACAGGAGGUUUUUGUUUCUCAUUUGGAAGUGUUGUGUUUGCUUGGAGUUCCAAGAAACAGCCACUAGUAGCUCAGUCAACAGUAGAAGCAGAGUACAUAGCAUGUGCAGCUGCUACCAAUCAUGCUUUAUGGUUGAGGAAGCUAUUAGAUGAGUUUGGGUUUAAGCAGGAGAAAGGAACAUUGAUUAAUUUUGACAACUUGUCAGCAAUUGCCAUAUCGAAGAAUCCUGUUCAACAUGGGAGAACUAAGCACAUUAGAGUUAAGUACCAUGCUCUUAGAGAAGCUGUAAAAGAGGAAGAGAUUGAAUUGAUUCAUUGCUCAACAAGUGAUCAGCUUGCUUAUAUAUUUACUAAGAGUUUGGGAAGAGAAAGAUUUGAAUGUUUGAGACAAUGUCUUGGUGUUCAUCAGAUUAUGAAUUAAGGGGUUGUGUUGAAAGGUAAUUCAUAAUCUGAUAGUAGCAGCAUGUGAAGAACAAGUGAAGAGCUUCAGCUUAUAGUGCAAAACGAUGGCGUUUCUUCAUCAGAAGUUCUAAGUUUUCAAAGUGUGUCGUUUUACUUCUUUUAUGUUUUAAGUUUGUAGUACUCAAAAUGAUGUUGCUCAUCUCGUUUUUAGCUCUGCUUAGUUAAGUCCUAUACGCUUCAUUAUAGUGUCGUUUUUGAGUCUGUUUUAAGGCUUAACAGCCAUGGCUUUCUAUUUCAAUUUUUUAGUGUUGGUGGUCAUUGGUUUGUGUGUAGUUUGUUGUUGUGAUCCGAUUUAUCAGGAAAUGUUUUUGAAUUGUUAAAGUAUAUAUACAGGAAAUAAAAUGAAAUGAAUAGCUUCUUCCAGUAAGAAAUUUUCUGUUCAUAUUCUCUGUUUUUAAGCUUUGUUUUUUUGUUGCUUGGCUUUAUAGCUUAGCUUUUAAUUUUCUUCAAGAACUAUAUCUCUAUCGAACUACCACUGAAUACAGCAUCAUGUAUCUCGUAAAUUGCACGAUGCAGAUCAACUGCUCUUCCGUUUAUAUCGAUGCUUUUCGUUGUACCAAUACCCUUUCCUCUGGACCUCCUUACUUUUACUUUUUGGAUGAAAAUAUAGCAAAGUCUGAUUUCCAUGAGUCAUGCAGAAUUGAAGCCAGGUUCCAAUCAUGGUUGCCAAUAUCACUGGCCUCUCUACUUUUGAUAUUUACACAAAGUUGUUAACGGGAUUCCAACUCUCAUGGUCAACUUUCUAUUAUGAGGGGUCAAGGUGAGACUCAAUUGUUAACGUGUCAGGAUUUUUAAGAAUUCCUAAAUAUUUGGUGCAUUUUGGUUUUAGAAAAGUAUUUAUUACGGAUUCAACGGUUUUGACGUGCUUUCUUGAAUAUUAAUUAUAGAUUGCUAUUGUUGCGUCUGCGGGUUAUAUCUAUUCUAAACAUCAUGGUUGAAACAGAUAAUUUCCUUGCACCUUAUAAAGGUAUUCUUUCUUUUGUUGAGUUCAAUAAUAAUUUGAUUAUUAUUGGAUUGCCUUUAAUUUCCUAUAGAGUAGCUAUUAACACUUAAUUUUCCAAUUGGUAAUAUCUUACCAGGAAUCCAAAUUUUUUGUCAUGCAAUUACAGGUACUAAAUUCUACACUUUUAUUUACUCUUCAAUUCUAGAAUUAUUUUUUUUAAAAGGCUAAAUUCUAGAAUUAUUAUGUAGUAGGAAUCUAAUUAAGAUUUAGCUUUACAUUUAUAUUUUCAACCCAUAGGAAGUGACUAUCGCAUUGACUUGAAACUUUACAUGCAUGAUGAGUAUAAGUAAAUUGUUAAAUUUAAUGGUUGGUUUAUUAAAAUAUUAAUAGUAUAUGAAAUUAUAAAAAAAUUGUAAAAAUUAAUUAAUUUUAUAGUGGUGUAUGAGUACCGCAUACAUGUAUACGUGCGUCUCCAAGAGACCACAUAAAAGAAGAUCCAUCAUAAAUGAUUCAUAAAUAAUUUUGAACUACAUUAAUUGGGUUUUUUUUAAUUAGGUAUUUUUAUGAUAUUGUGAUGUUUCUUGGUCAAAAUAAAACUUACAUGGAAUAAGGUCUAAAUUUACCAUUCUAUUUUGAGUAAUGGAUCACACUUAUCACCAUCUUUGAACGAGUGUAAUUUUGCCGCUACACUUUUAAAUUAGUUAAAAAUAUGAUCAAAAGUUAAAACUAGUGUUAAUUUUUGACCAUUUUUGAAGUAAAUUAAAAUGUAUAAUGGUAAAAAUUGCACUUGUUUAAAAAUAAAAUAAUAAAUUUGAUCCAUCACCUUAAAUAAACUAGCGUGUGUAAAUUUAAAUUUUAUCCCAAAUUAUGCUAUGAAUUUUGUUGGUGAAAAUAUGGCAGCACAUACCCAAGUUAAAUUAGUAAAUGACAUAUGUAUAACAUAUAAUCAUGUUGUCCAACUAAUUAAUUUAUAUAUUGUUAUGUAAUUUUUUUUUUGUGAAACAGGAAUUAUAGGAAUUAUAUUGCUAAGAACACUUUUCACGAUAAUUUGCUUGAUUAUAUUGGUUAUACGCAAAUUAAAAAGGAGGCAUUUAUCAAUGGAUGACAUGAUUGAGAAUUUUCUUCAGAGUCAAAAUAAUUUAAUGCCUAUAAGAUAUUCUUAUUUUGAAAUAAAAAGAAUGACGGAAGGUUUCAAGAAUAAGCUAGGACAAGGAGGAUAUGGCUCUGUGUUUAAAGGAAAACUUAGAAGUGGUCAACUUGUUGUGAUAAAAUUGUUAAACAAAUCAAAAGCUAAUGGCCAAGAUUUCAUCAAUAAAGUUGCAACUAUUGGAAGAAUUCAUCAUGUCAAUGUCGUAAGACUCAUUGGAUUUUGUGUGAAGGGAUCAAAACAAGCUCUUGUAUAUGACUUCAUGCAAAACAGGUCCUUAGUUAAAAUAAUAUUUUCGACUGAAAGUAACACUUUGAGUUAACAAAAAAUGUUUGAGAUUGCAUUGGGAGUGGCUCGAGGUAUUGAAUAUUUACAUAGAGGAUGUGAAAUGCAAAUUUUACAUUUCGAUAUCAAGCCACAUAACAUUCUCCUAUAUGAGAACUUUAUCCCAAAAGUUUCAGAUUUUGGCCUUGCAAAGUUGUAUUCAGUGGAUGACAGUAUUGUCUCUCUCACAGCUGCAAGAGGUACAUUAGUAUAUAUGGCUCUUGAAUUGUUUUAUAAAAAUAUUGGAAGCAUCUCAUAUAAAGCCGAUGUUUAUAGUUUUGGAAUGAUGUUAAUGGAAAUUGUCAGAACGAGAAAAAAUGUGAAUGUCUCUGCUGAACAUUCAAAUCAAAUUUAUUUUCCAUCAUGGAUUUAUGAUCGACUCGAAGAAGGAGAUAUCAUAGAGCUUGGAGAUGUAACAGAGAAUGAAAACAAAAUUAUGAGGAAAAUGGUAAUAGUAGCCUUUUGGUGCAUACAGAUGAAGCCCACAGAUCGUCCUUUAAUGAGCAAAGUCUUGGAGAUGCUUGAAAGUGAAGUUAAGCUCCUUGAAAUGCCUCCCAAGCCUGCUUUCUCUUGAAAUGUCAACCAAAUCAUUUAGUGUUGUAUUAUAAGUAAUAUUUAAUAUUGUAUGUUAAGCAAUGUUUCACUACUUUAUUAUAUUGCUUUUAUAAUUUUUAUAGUAGAAACCUUAAGCUUCGGGCAUAAUCUUCUCUCUUCCUAAAAAAACAAAAAAAACAAAAACAAUAUAGAAUGGUGAUGAAGAAACUAUAUCAAGGAAAAGAAGGAUACUGAGUUGGAGUUUUGAGCGUGCGAACAUUUUAGGAGAGUUGUAAUGGUAUCUUGUAAGUAUUUUGUCUAUAUAAAAAGUCUUUGGGGCAUUUUAAAAAAUAACCCUCAAAGAUAAUAUGUUUUCAAAAAUAACUCUUUUUAUAAUUUUAACUAUUUUUAGUUAAGUUGGAUAAAAUUAUCCUUAAUGAAAUUACNGGUCAAUUUUCUAAUGGACUCCAAACUGGACCUUGAACUCCAAAUCACUAUUCUAAGUCAUUCUGUUGGUUUUAAAAUUUUCAAAUUCCUCUUAGAAUUUCUAUUUGAACUAGUUCAAGGCUCGAUUUAACUUAGUUGUACCACUUGGUACAAUACCGUCUUUUAAUCGAGCUUGACAGGGUCUCACAUUAGUUUUAUCCAAAAUACCUAAAAAUCGAAUUUCUCAAGUAGCCACUCACCCAAGCACGUCAAAACUAUUGCUUGGUGUCUUGAAAGUACAAGAAAGAGAAAUAUGAAAAUGCGAGAGAAAGAAAUCGGAAGCAUAGCAGACGAAUGUCGAAGAGAGAAAUCGAUAAAAUUUAAAAGAGUGGGAUGGUGAGACAGAAAAAUCCAAAACACAAAUAGGGAGAAAUUGUGAUGAAUUGUUUAAUUUAUUUGAAAUAGUUUAAAGGGUAUUUUUAUCAAAUCAUAACUAAAUAUGAAUAAAAAUAGUUAAAUUUAUUUUGAUAAUUAUUUUUAAAAUGUCUCUAUCAAGAAAGACCAUAUCUCACAAUUUUCUCAAAAUCUUUUAUUCAUGUAAAGGAUAAAGGCUUUAAAUAGUAUUAUCUAUACAAUCAUUAUAUUAUUGCAAAUAAUUAACUUACUUUUUAAAAAAAUUAAAAAUAUUUCUCAGCCAUGUUUGGAAUUUUAAUUUUUUUAUUUAAAACAUAUAAAUUAUUUGAGCUUUCUCUCUUAAUUAAAAAAGUCAAAUUGUAUUCAAUUUAAAAAUUUAUUUAAAAUGAUUCGAAAUCAAAUUCAGUUUAGUUCAAAUUACAUGGUAAAAAUUAAAAAUUUGAAUCUAAAAAUAUGUAAAUUUAAAAUGAUAUUAAUCCAACACUAUCUAAGUUCAACAUGACUUGAAUCUAAAACGAACCGAGCUCAUAAUGAUUCAAAACCCAAGAUAUAUCCAAAACUUAUAAAAACUUAAAUUUAUAACUGCAAAAAAUCCCAAUUAUAAUUAAAUAAUUUUAUUUAAUAACUAAAUGAGUAAAUGAUUAUUUUUUAAGUGAAAAUUUUAAGACACACAGGAACCUUUUUCUCGUCAAUGCUUCUUCUUUACUCAGAAACAGCUCAUAGGAAUGGCAUGGUCAACUACUCUGCUUCACCUUCACUUCAAAUUCCCUCCGGUUUCUUUUCACCAAUUGCCACAUUCCCUCCCCAAAAAAUCCCUAAUCUUCCUAAACCCUAACCCUAUAAUUGCCAAUUCCAAACCGGCCAAAAUGCAAUUCCUUCACAGACCCAACGCGUUUCCAGGCCACGGCGCAGUAUCAAGAGCCAUGGACAUCAUCCAAUCCUCGCCGCCCACGUGGCUAUCGGCCUUCCUCAGCAACCUCGUGAUCUUCGUCGUCGGAACCCCACUUUUAGUAGCGGGGCUAUCUCUCUCCGGAAUUUGCGCUGCCUUCUUGCUUGGCACUCUCACUUGGCGCGCUUUUGGGUCUUCUGGGUUCCUCCUCGUUGCUUCUUACUUCGUUAUUG